UCGUCUUCUCCUCCUGGUGCGGGGAAUCCCAUGAAUACUUUUAGCUUCUUCUUCAGGUCAUCAUUCUUCUCCAAUAGUGUUGCAAUCUCCUCCUCGUAUCCAUCGCGUGUAUUCUUGAGUUCUUCUUCCAGCUCCAUGAUCUUGGCCAUUGCCUUCUUCAGAUCUAUCAUGCUUGCGCACAUCUGGUUCUCCUAGCGUUGAAUGUGCUGGUUUAACUCCUGGAUGAAAGCUACAAUUGAUCUAUCCUUCCUAGUGCUGAUCAUCUCCCAUUGCUCAUGUCGGUGCCCACAAAUCUGGUAGAUAGUAUCCUUGAGAUCCUUGUGGUAAACUUCUCCAAUGCGUCCCAUGGUGAUGUGGGCUACCAUGCUCUUUCCUAGACUCCAGUUUGGUGCAUCAAAGGAAAACUCUAUGGGCUCAGUGACUGGCAUGAACGUCCUUCCUGGAACUUGAAAUUGAAUCAUCCAAUGCUCUUCUUCUGGUAAAGUGGCGAUGUAGGUUUCGGUGAAGCUUGGUACUCCGAUGUUUAGGUAUCUAGUGACUUCCUUCAAGUGGUGUCCAAAAGGUGUAUCUUCAUCCGGUUGCGUGAACUUGUUCCUUGCAUCCGCCAUCCUAAAAGAGUAGAAAAGGAGAGGAGUCCGAAAUGAGAAGAGAAUAGUGAUCUAGGGCUUUAGCUUAGUGGUCGUGUCCUAUAGUCAGCGUGUGCUCUGAUACCAUCUUGUAGCGACCAGACCUCAAAGAGUCUGAUCUCUGUGCAUCAGUGUCAUCCCUGGAUCGGUAAUGCUGACACGCACAAUACUUGAAGGAUUUAUAACAAAGUAGCAAUCACACACUUAUUACAUCGAAUGUCUCAAAAGAGAACGUAUUACAAUAAAUAUGGCUUAAGGCCAUCUAAUAACGAUAACAGCGGAAGGCUUGGAAGAUAAAGUGAGUCCAUCAACUCCAACGGCAUCACUGAGUAUAAGACCAUGACCUACGGCACCUUACUCGUCGUCUGAAAAGCCUGCAACAUGAACGUUGCAGCCCGAAAACGGGUCAGCACAUGGAAUAUGCUGGCAAUGUAACACAUAGAGAGAAAUGAACAGAAAAAUGAUAUCACUACAUGCAUAUAUAGCUGGUGGAAAGCUCUAUGGUUACGGUUUUGCAUAAAGCCAAUUUUUUCCUACAACAAAGGAAUAAAUUUUAUUUAACUAUCUUGGUGGUUGUUAAACAUUGAGAAGGUUCACCCAACUCAAUCCCAAUUAAGCAUAAACAUUAAACCCAAAAAAUUAAAUUAAGUAACAUGAUAAGAUUUACAUGAUAAUCCAAGUACUAGAUACUCAAAACGUCCUUAACCAGGGACACGGCUAACCAUGAUUAGUUUAUACACUCUGCAGAGGUUUGCACAUUUUUCCCCGCAAGACUCGAUCUUCUCCGUUGGAAUUCUCGCACUACAUGGUGUUUGAGAAACGGAUGACCGAGACACAGUCUUUCAGAAGCGUUAGCACCUUACGAUGGGUAGACAGUUACACCUACUUUCCCCUACAUCUAUUAGUCUACCACUAUAAGAGUUCACACGAUUUAAUAAACUCUGCUAGAGCCCAGAGUAGCUUGCGGCUGCACACGGAAGUUUCUAGCAUGAAUAAUCUCAUGAUCCCUUUGAGCCUGUGUGGCGGUCCAUAGGAAAAUCACACGGUACCCCGGGAUUUCCAAAAAUACAGGCAACACUGGGUUCCCCAGGUGCCUCAAUCCACCCAGAUGUGUAUUAAAGUUGCCACCUUAAGUUGAACCAUUAAUUAACAAACUCACAUCUGUCAUGGAUAAACUCACUUAGUCCACGUCUACUAGCAUAGCAUAGCAAUAUAAGCAAACGUAGAAGUAAUUCCCAAGGGUUUGGUAAUAAACAGGGCAAUAGGUUCUACCUCAUCAACUACUUCCCAACACCCACAUGUUAAUCAGAUCCUAACCAUGCAAUUGUUUGAGGAUUGAUCUAAUGCAAUAAAACUGGGUAGUAAAGAGGUAUGAUCAAAGUGAUACUUGCCUUGCUGAUGAUCCGUGAAACCUAGAGACUCGUAGUAGCAUGUUGCGCACUCCGGGUACUCUUUCGCAAACAAACAAGCAUACAAUAAGCACUCAUCUAAUGCACAGGUAAAACUCAAAUAAGAGAUCUAACCAAAAAGUUCAACUUAAGAACUCCGGUUUGCAAAAAGAAUCAAAUCAAACGAAGCAACGAAACUCAAACGGCGAAAGAAAGAAGCUUCAUUUACUAAUAUGGACCUAAGUCAAAUUUUAUAGUAACAAAAACUUGUUUGAGUUGGUUAAACAGAAAGAGGGUUUUGAGACGAAACUCUAGGCGCUUGAAUCACCUGAUUCCGAUAAACGAGCGAAAAGUUAUACUAGAACGACAAUCGGAUCAGAAAUCGCGAUCGAAAAUAAUCGUGAAAAACCUGAGAAAAAGAAAAACGGACGAACGUUCGCUGUCUCGGGUUUAAUGGUGGAAACCGUUCGUUAAAACGAACGAACGAACGAGUGUUCGCUAAGUAACUAAACCAAGAAAAACUGACAAACAUCUCUAAAAAACGGAUCUAGGGUUUUAAAAAACCGAACGGUUUUAUAAAAAAACCCGGCGGCGACUACCUCGGGUUUGGCAUGGAUUCCGGCGAGGUAGGCGAGGUGGCGGCGCGGCGCGGGACGGCGGCGGUGGAGGGGUCGGCGGCAUCGCGGGGCGAUGAGGCGGCAGCAGCGCGGGGCGGCGGCAGCUAGGGUUAGGGUUUGGGGCGUGGGUGGGCUUCGGCGGCGGUGUGGGCUUUCGGGAAGGGGGGCCUGGCUUAUAAAGCCCCCCCCCCCCCGGGCGGAGUCCUGCUCGGGUACGGCCCGGAGUCGGUUUGACUUUUUUUUAAUAAUUACAACAUGCAGAAAAAGAAAGAAAAGAAAUACUAAACGGGCUCCAAAAAUCCCGAAUUAAAUUUUCCCCGUCCUCUAAAAAUAAGCCGGACAAGAUGAACAUUUAUUUGGGCCUAAAAUGCAAUUUUGAAAAAUGCGUAUUUUUCCUAAUUCAAAUAAAAUAGUGAUAAAACUCCGAAAUAAAAUCUUGUUUGAUUUUAAUAUUAAAUCUUCAAUAUUUCUUUAUUUUUGGGAAAGUCAUUUUAUUCCCUCUCUUUUAUUUUUAUAAAAGAAAUAUGUGAAGAUCAAAUAAUUAAAAUCAAAUGAUCCUAUUUUCAAAAUUUGAGAAAACUCAAGUAUGAAAAUAACGAAAUUCCCAACUCUCUCCGUGGGUCCUUGAGUUGCGUAGAAUUUCUAGGAUCAAGCCAAAAUGCAAUAAAAUAUGAUAUGCAAUGACGAUCUAUGUAUAACAUUCCAAAUUGAAAAUUUUGGGAUGUUACAAACCUACCCCCCCCCCUUAAGAUGAAUCUCGCCCUCGAGAUUCGGGUUGGCUAGAAAAUAGGUGAGGGUGGUCCUUCAGUAGGUCUUCCUCUCGCUCCCAGGUGGCUUCAUCCUUGGUAUGGUGGCUCCACUUAACUUUGCAAAACUUGAUAACCUUGCUGCGUGUGACUCAGCUGGCAAACUCAAGAAUUUUGACUGGUUUCUCCUCAUAGGUCAAAUCACUAUCCAACUGAAUCGCUUCCAAUGGCACUGUAUCUCUCAGAGGUAUAUCGGCCAUCUCUGCGUGGCACUUAUUCAACUGGGAAACAUGGAACACAUCAUGAACUCCUAACAAUCCUUCAGGCAACUCUAGCUUGUAAGCAACUUCUCCCAUACGCUCCAAAACUUUGUAUUGUCCCACAAAACAUGGUGCUAACUUUCCCUUAACUCCAAAACGCUUAACUCCUCAAAGUGGGGACACACGAAGAUAAACUCUAUCUCCGACUUUGUAAACUGUCUCCUUACAUUUAGAAUCUGCAUAGCUCUUCUGCCUAGACUGGGCUACCUAGAGCCUAUCACGAAUCAACUUAACCUUCUCUUCAGACUCUUUAAUCAAAUCCGGUCCAAACAGCUAAUGGUCUCCAACUUCAUCCCACAACAAUGGUGUCCUGCACCUCCUUUCGUACAAGGCUUCGAAAGGGGCCAUCUUCAAACUGGAUUGAUAAUUGUUGUUGUAAGAGAAUUCUGCAUAUGGCAAAUUGUCGUCCCAACUAGAUCCAUAAUCUAGCGCACAAGCUCUCAACAUUUCCUCCAGAAUCUGUUGUUGUAAGAGAACUCUGCAUUUGGGAUGUUACAAACCUACCCCCGUUCCAGAACGUGCCUACACUUCUAGCAUUCAUUUUCUGAGAGAGAACUACCUACUCAUGUGUUGAGACCAAGACAUUCCAAUCCAACCACAAGAAUCUUGAUCUCUAGCCUUCCCCAAGUUGCUUUCCACUCAAAUCAUCUUUUCAUCAUAGCCAAAUCUGUGAGAGAGAGUUGAGUGUUGGGCAGACUAUCAUUUGAAGAACAAGAGCAAGGAGUUCAUCAUCAACACACCAUCUAUUACCUUUUGGAGAGUGGUGUCUCCUAGAUUAGUUAGGUGUCACUUGGGAGCCUCCGUCAAGAUUGUGGAGUUGAACCAAGGAGUUUGUAAGGGCAAGGGGAUCACCUACUUCGUGAAGAUCUAACCAAGUGAGACAAGUCCUUCGUGGGCGAUGGACAUGGUGGGAUAGACAAGGUUGGUUCUUCGUGGACCCUUCAUGGGUGGAGCCCUCCAUGGACUCGCGCAGUCGUUACCCUUCGUGGGUUGAAGUCUCCAUCAACGUGGAUGUACGAUAGCACCACCUAUCGGAACCACGGCAAAAAUCUCCGUGUCUACAUUGCGUUUGCUCCCUCCAAAUUCAUCCCCUUUUACCUUCAUAUGCAAUGAUUUACAUUUCGCUGCUAUACUCUUAGAAUUGCAUGUGUAGGUUGAUUGCUUGACUAGUGUUAAGUUGCUAAAAUCUGUCAAGACUUAAAAUUGGGAAAUGGCUAGAUUUUUAUUUGGUCAAGUAGUCUAAUCACCCCCCUCUAGACAUACUUUUGAUCGUACACUCUCUUUGAUCUUCUAUACAAUGUUCUCCUCGAUGUUCUUGGAUUUCUAUUUGAUGUAAUCACUUUUUAUGGUGUGUUUGUUGGGAUCCGAUGAAUUCUGAGUUAAUGAUCAGAUUAUCCAUGAAUAUUAUUUGAGUUUUCUCUGAACUCUUGUUUUCAUGAUUAUUAUAGCUUCAUAUUUCUCUCUGAUAUAUUGAUUUGGUUUGGCCAAGUAGAUUGAUUUAUCUUGCAAUGGGACAGGUGCUUUGUAAUGGGUUCGAUCUUGCGGUUCUCAAUCCCAGUGACAGAAGGGGACAUGGCAUUCAUUGUAUAGUUGCUAUUAAUGAUAAAAAGAUGGAGUUUAUUCAUGCGUGAGUUUACUUUGUCUACAUCAUGUCAUCUUGCUUAAGGUGUUACUCUACAUGCAUGUUGGAUAGCGAUCGAUUUGUGGGGUAAUAGUAGUAGAUGCAGGCAGGAGUCAGUCUACUUCUCUCAGACGUGAUGCCUAUAUACAUGAUCAUUGCCUUGGAUAUCGUCAUGAUUAUUCGCUUUUUUAUCAAUUUCCUAAUAAUAAUUUGUUUACCCACUGUAUGCUAUCUUCAUGAUAGAAUCCUCUAGUGAAAACUAUGGCCCCCAGGUCUACCUUUAUCAUAUAUUAAAAUCCAAAAAAUAUCUUGCUGCACUUUUUUAUAUAUUUAUUUUAUUUUGUAUUUUUAUUUAUUGAUCUACGACUAGGAAAUUUGAUCUUGAAAAUAACCGCCGAGGGAUUGACAACCCCUUGUUCGAGUUGGGUGCAAGUAUUUGUUAUUUUGUGUGGAGGUGAUGGCAUCGAGGUGUUGCUUGGUUCUCCUACUGGAUUGAUAACCUUGGUUCUUAACCGAGGGAAAUACUUAUCUCUACUGUACUACAUCAUGAUCUCCUCUGCGGGGAAAUCCCAACACAGCUCACAAGUAGCAGGAAGAAUUUCUGGCGCCGUUGCCGGGGAGACAUCAUCAACGUCUAUCAAGUACCUACGCAUAAAAUCACAUCUUCUUGCAUUUACAUUAUUUGCCUUUUGCCUCUCGUUUUCAUCUCCCCCACUCCCAAAAACUUUUCACAAAAAUAUUUUAUGUUUACCUUUUUCUUGUUUGCUUCUUUGUUUGAUUGUUAUCUUGUUUGCCUAGUCAUGAUGUCUCGAGAAAAUCAUGAUACCUCUUAUCAUAAAAUUUCAGCCCAAAUGUUAAAAAAUACCAAAGAUUACAUGUCUACGCAAUUUGAGCACAACAAUUUUUUUUACUAAAGAACUUAAAGAACACUCUACCUUGUUGGACGCUAUUGCAAAACAACUCAAUGAUGUUAGUGAAGAAGUUGCUACUCUUAAAUCUCAAUUUUCUCUUACUGAAAAAUUUCUAGGGAAAAUUUCUGAUGAGCAAGCUAUGCUAGUAAAUCGAAUGGCAGCUAAGCUGGAAUCGUAUGCACUUAGUAAUGAUGAAGAUGUUAAAAUGAUUAGUGUUUCUUCCAUUUACUCCUUGUUUAGUAAUGUUAAAAUUUAUGAUAAGGGGACUGAAGAAGAGUCAACUUUAGCUAUAAGGUGUCCCAUGGUUCGGAGGGUGAUAAUCUUGAUGAAAAAAUUGAUAAAAGUGGGUUUGGAGAGGUCAAAAUUUUAAAUAGUGAUGUGCCCACUCUUUUGGAUUACAAAGACUUCAAUUAUGAUAGUCUUUCUUUGAUUGAGUGUAUUUAUUUGUUGCAAUCCAUGCUUAAUUCACCCAAUGCUUAUGAACAAAAUAAGGUUCUUACUAAACUUAUUGUAGAAGUGAUGAUGAAAGCUUUAGAAGAAAAGCUAGAACUAGAAAAUUCAAUUCCUAGAAAAUUAUAUGAUGAGUGGGAACCCACCAUUAAAGUCAAGAAUAAAAAUUAUGAGUGCAAUGCUUUACGUGAUUUGGGUGGUAGCGUUUCCACAAUACCAAAAUCUCUAUGUGAUGUGCUAGGUUGUCACAUCCCUAGCUUCUGGUUUGCUCUGAGCUAGCUAGUCAUGUGUUGCAUCAUGUUUAAAUUUCAGUUAAACCUGAAAUGGGGAUUGUUUAAACCCUAGCACCAAAUGAAUUCAAAUAGGCUCAAAUAAAAUCAUUUUCAAUAAACCCAAAAUGCCUUUGAAAAUGUUCAUGAUUUCUGAUAAAGGUGAAAACCUCUGCCAAAAAUGAUGAACAUAUUUAUAGGUCAUUUCUGGAUUUUUGAAUUAACUCAUAUUGUAUUUGAAUUGGGUCAUUUAAAUCUUAUAAAUAUUUUAAAUGCUCUAAUAAUUCUGAAACUAGUUGGGGCUGUUGGAAAUAAUUUUCACAGUGCCACAAAUAUUUUCAGGAUUUUUAAUAAUGCUCUGGCAUUUUUAGUAAAGCCAAAACAAUUGCAGAAAAUAGAAAAUGGAAUUAAAAGAUAGUGAGAAAAACUGACUGGCGCUUACCUCUAGCCCAUACGGUGCCUCAGCUGGCCCAGCACUGUGUGGCCCACUAGCCCACAGUGCCAGUCACCCUCCUCCUUGCGCCAGAAGGACGCCGGCGUGUCGCCCAUGUGCGCACUCUCGGCCACCUCCUGCUUCCACCUCCUCCUGCCUCCCUGCCCGCUUCUCGACCCCCUGGAGACGCCACGCAGCCCCCCUGGCCCCCUCUCACUCUCUCCCAUGCCUUCUCCCCUCCUCUGCUCUCUCUCCCUCUCGCAACCGAGCGCUACCGUCGACGCCGUUCACCACCACCGCGCCCACCGCCGUCGCAUCUCUCCCCUGAGCUAUCUAGAAGAACCGCCUCGGUCCCCUCGUCCUCUCCACCGAGCUGUACGACGCCGGAGGCCCUAGAACAUCGCCAUCACUGUCGUCAUCAACCUCUGCCCCGACGAUCGCCGCCGUCAAAUUCGUCGCCGUCCGGCCUCCCCCGAGCCCACCGAGAAUCUCUUCGUGACCGUGGUGAGCCCCCGGUCAUAUUCUCCCUAACCCCGCUACCGUUUGGUCGCCGUAGCCGUUGUCCCCUUGCUUACCGUAGCCGCCGCCACACGGGCUCGUCGCCGGCGAAGCCCCAGUGACCUUUUGGUCCCACGCGUGUGUCCGUUGCACUCGCAACGUCCCGUAGAGCAAAACUAGUGCGACAACCGUCUCGUUUGCACACUGCAGUGCCGGUCCCGUGAACCCCCGAGCUCCGGCCGCCGCUCGGCUCGACGCCGUCAUUGUUCUCGGCCACCCCAGCUCCAACCACUAUCACCAUUGGAUGCGCCACACCACCAGCUACCCGUAGCACCCACCCGCGCAUCGAACCGUGCUCGGGGAAGCGUUUCCGACGCUCUCUGUCGUCUCAGCCUCGCCGGCGGCUCAACGCCGGCAGGUUUGACCUGCUGACCAAGUUGACCCCGGGUGGGCCCAGUUUGACCCUGCUGGGUCCAUGACAAAUGGGACCCGCCUGCUAAUUAAGUUAGGAUUAGGACUAACUAAAAUUAGUUAGACUAAUAACACUGACAUGCGGGACCCAUGGUCAGUUUGACCUGGACCGCCCAGUUGACCUGCUGACAUCAUAGUGAUGUCAUGCUGAUGCAGUAAUUCUUCUGGAAUUUAAAUAAAUCUUAAAUGGUUUAUUUAUUUCAGAAAAUGUUAUAAACUUCUAAAAUUCAUAUAAAUUCAACCGUAACUCAGAAUGAAAUAAUUUAUAUAUGAAAAAUUAUCAGAAAAAUCCAAUCUAUCCAUCUGUAUCAUUUUCAUGCAUGUUAGAACAACUUAUGGCUGCUGUUUAGGACAAAUCAUAUAAAUGGCAUUUGAAUUUCACAUAUGGAGUUUGGAUUUGAACUUAGGGUUCAAACCAACUUCAUUUAACUUUGUUGCUAGCUGCAUUAGCUCAAAACACCAGCAUGUUGCCAUGUCAUGAUCAUGCAUCAUAAUGUGCAUUGCAUUGAUUGUGUUUCUUCUCUGUUGCCGGUAAUUGUUCCCUCUCAGUAGACGUGGUUCCGACGAUGAGAUCGAUGACACCGAUGAAGAGCUAUACUAUCUUCAGAAGUGCCAGGCAAGCAAAAACCCCUUGUUCAUUCCGAUACAAUCCCACUCUCUCGCUCCUGCUCUCUUUUACUGCAUUAGGACAACAAUGAUUCAACUGUUACAUGCUGCGGUAGUUGAACCCCUUUCCUCUGCAUGACCUGUCAUUGCCAUAGUAAAUAGAUGAAACCCACUAGCAUGAGUAGGAGUUGUUUGAGCCCUGAUGUGCCUACUCAUUAAUGCUUGUUUGUCAUGCCUGCUACUGCUUAGAGUUGACUCAGGUAUGAUUCAUCGGGGAUGAAUCAGAGGUGUGUGAACAUGUCCUACUGUGCAUGAGCUAAGUGUGUGAACACGAUUUGGUAAAGGUAGCGGUGAGAGGCCAUGUAGGAGUACAUGGUGGGUUGUCUCAUUGCAGCCGUCCUUAGGAACUGAGUUUUGUGUUUGUGAUCCAUGAUUCAGCUACUACCAUGCAUUGGGCCCUGAAAUAUGACCCCGCUCGACUUCUUAAUCACCCUUGUCCUCGGUCCAGGAGUUGCAAGUAGUUUCUGGUGUUUGUAGUAUGCUGGAGGCCGUGGGCAGCGCUGACCCGAGGGGUGGGUUGUGAUCCGGUAGGCACGUGGCCGGGUAUUACCGGGCACCCGUUUGGUGUCACGGAACCCUGUACACAUCGUUCGGGGCCGUAUGUGGAAACCUCGGCCGGACUCCCUGCGGAUGGAACCUGAAUAGGCGAUAAACCUGGACUAGAGACUUGAGUGUUUAGGUAGGUCGUGGUCUACACCCACGUCGAAUUUCGCUUGAAGUCUGCCGAGCACAUGUUGUGUGCAGACGCUAAGUGGUGUAAACAUGUAUGAAGAAGUACACCCCUGCGGGGUUAACAUCAUCUAUUCGAAUAGCCGUGUCCGUGGUAAAGGACUUCUGGGUUGCCUAUAUCAGUUCAUAGACAAGUGGAAGUGGAUACUUUAAAAUGCGCAAGAUAAGCAUGAGUGCUAUGGAUGGCGUUCUCGUAGGGAGACGGGAGCGGAUCCAUAGUGGUGUAUUGAUAUGGUGAAUAUGUGGACUCGUGUGCGCCACCUCAAAAGAGUUACUUGCAAUCAUAGUUUAGGAUAGCCACUGAGUCAAAGCUGGCUUGCUGCAGUUAAACCCCACCAUCCCCUUUGUUGAUAAUGAUGCAUAUGUAGUUAGUUCUGAUGUAAGUCUUGUUGGGUACAUUUGUACUCACGUUUGCCUAUUUUACGUUUUUGCAGAGACAUCCGUCUCACUAGUAGUUCCGCGUGGACUUCGACGUUUAGCUUGUUACCUCAGCUACGAUCUUGUGCCUCGGCGGGAUCUGGUAGACAGUCGGGAUUCUCAGCCUUUUUCAUUUGUAGUUGUCUGUACUCAGACAUGUUAAGCUUCCGCAUGUGUUUGACUUGUAUGCUCUGAAUGUUGGGUCGUGAGACCCAUGUUUGUAAUAUCUCGCUCCUCGGAGCCUAUUGAAUAAAAUACUUGAGUUGUAGAUUCAUGUUGUGAUGCCAUGUUGUAUUUGCACAUAUCAAGCAUAUUGUGUGUAUGUUAUUGAAAUGCUUGGUAUGUGUGGGAUCUGACUAUGUAGUUGUUUAUCCUUGGUAGUCUCUCUUACCAGGAAAUGUCUCCUAGUGCUUCCACUGAGCAUUGGUAGCUUGCUACUGCUCCGGAACACUUAGGCUGGCCGGCAUGUGUCCUUCUUCGUUCCUGUGUCUGUCCCUUCGGGGAAAUGUCACGCGGUGUCUAUAGGAGUCCUGUUAGCCUGCUACAGCCCGGUUUACCGGAGUCCUGCUAGCCCAGUUGCUACAGCCCGGAUUCACUCGCUGAUGACCGACACGUUCGAUGCUGGGUCAUGGAUGCAUGUCCCUAUAGGUCUGUGCCACUUUGGGUUUACGACUAGCCAUGUCAGCCCGGGCUCCUUAUCAUAUGGAUGCUAGCGACACUAUCAUAUACGUGUGCCAAAAGGCGCAAACGGUUCCAGGCAAAGGUAAGGCGACACCCGUGGGAAUACCGUGCAUGAGGCCGCAAAGUGAUAUGAGGUAUUACAUGCUAGAUCGAUGUGGUAUUGAGUCGGGGUCCUGACAUAGGUUUUACCAAUAUGGAUGAAUGUUGUCUUAAUUUGCACUUAGCGGAUUCUCUAUCAAGAAACCUUUGGGUAGAAUAAAUGAUGUUCUUAUUCUUGCAAAUAGAAAUUAUGUACCCAUUGAUUUUAUAAUACUUGAUAUGAAUGCAAUCCGUCUUGUCCCAAUAUACUUGGUAGACCGUUCUUACAAACCAUAGGUGUUGUUAUUGACAUGAAAGAAGGGAAUAUAAAACUUCAGUACAUUAAAGAAGGGUAUGUAACACUUCUGUAGAAAGAGAACUAAGCCACCAUAUGAAUCAAUAAUGAGGGCCACCUAUGGAACUAAAACCAUGGAUGGCAACACUUGAAACUGUGCAUUGCACCUAGCUAGGGGCAUAAAACAAUUGCGCUAGUUGGGAGGCAACCCAACAGUUAUCUUAAUUUUCUUGUUUCCUUUUCUGGGGUUUUUGUGCACAUAAUUAUUUUGUUGUUAUGGUUGUGUUUUUGUGUUUUAAAGUAGUAUUUGUUCCAAGUAAAGCCUUUGGGAUGAUUUGGAGGAUAGUUGAUUUGAUUCUAUGAAAAAACACAACCUUUUACGCCUAGUAGCAUAAUUGUUUAAAUUCAGUGGAACGUGCUUUUGAUCUGAAUUUUUUCAGAUGAUUGAUAUACAACUUCCCAAUGUUUUCCUAAUUUUUGAGAAUUUGUAGAGUUACAGAAGUGAGAACAAUUCAGGUUUCUACGGUUGUUAUGUUUCUGAUAAAUUCUAUUUUUGAUGUAUUGUUUUGCUUGUUUUGAUGGAACUAUGGAUUGUACCGGGCAGUAUAAGCCAUGGAGAAGUUAGAAUACAGUAGUUAUAAUGUAAAAAUAAAAUAUGAAUGUCUUUGCAAUAGUACUUAAAGUAGUGAUUUGUUUUAUUACACUAACGGAUCUCAUGAAGGUUUUGUUGAGUUGUGUGUGCUGAAGUUUUCAAGUUUUGAGUGAGAUCACGAUGGAUGAAGGAAUAAGGAGUGGCAAGAGCCUAAGCUAGGGGAUGCCCGAGGCACCCCAAGGUAAUAUUCAAGGACUCCUAAGCAACUAACCUUGGGGGUGCCUCGGAAGGUAUCCUCUCUUUCUUCUAUCGACCAUCGAUAAUAUUACUUGGUGCUAUAUUUUUAUUCAUCUCAUAAUAUGAGUUUUGCUUGGAGCGUCAUGUAUUAUAUGAUUCUUUGCUUUGUUUGCUUUGUAGUUUAUCCAUAGGUCUCUCCAACAAAGAUUAUUGUGGAAAACUAAAAAGCAAACAAAGCAAAGACUCAUAUAAUACACGACACUCCAAGCAAACUCAUAUCAUGUGAUGAAUAAAAAUAUAGCUCCAAGUAAUUUACCGAUGGUUGGUAGACAAAAGAGGGGAUGUCUUCCGGGGCAUCCCCUAGCUUAGAUGCUUGGGUCUCCUCGAAUAUUACCUUGGUGCCUUGGUAAUCCCCAAUCUUAGGGUCUUUCCACUCUCAAUUCCUUCAUCCAUCGCGAUCUCUGUUAAAACAUGAAAACUCCGUAACGCAAAACUCAACAGAAACCUUCAUGAGAUCCGUUAGUAUAACAACCAAAUCACGAACUUUAGGUACUAUUAUGAACCCAUUCAUAUUUUAUUGUUGCGUAAUAACUACUAUAUUCAAAGUUCUCCAUGACUUAUACCCCCUCCCCCCCGGUACAAGAUACAAUCCAUAGAUUCAUCAAAACAAGCAAACUAUGCAACGAAAACAGAAUUUGUCUAAAACAGAACAGUUGUAGUCAUCUGAAUAAUAACUAUACUACUAUAACUCCAAAAAUUCUGAAAAAUUAGGACAAUGUCAGCAAUUUGUAUAUCAAUCAUUUGUAAAAAAAAUCAGAUCAAAAACACAUUCCAUUGAAUUUAAACAGUUCCGAACUAGGCACGAAAGUUUCCAUUUUUUCACAGAAUUGAAUGAACUAUCAACUAAAUCAUCCCAAAGGCUUUACUUGGCACAAACACUAAUUAAACAACAAAAACACAACAAUAAAAGUAGCAUAAUUGUGUGCACACUCAAAAAAAUUUAAAAGAAACAAGAAAAAUAAAGAUAACUAUUGGGUUGCCUCCCUACAAGCGCCAUUGUUUUACGCCCCUAGCUAGGCGUAAUGCAUAGUUUCAAGUGUUGUCAUCUUUAGUUUUCACAUCUUGAGAUGUGUUCUCAUCCAGAGGUUUUUCAAAGACAAUGUGGAACACAUCACACAUCAUCAAUCUAAAUUUUAGCUUUGUUAAGGCAACUUUCCUCAAAUCCUUGUUGGUUCCCCUUUAUCAUCCAAGAAUAUUGUUGAUUAAUACCAUUGAAAACGUGUUGAAUAAUAUGCAAGGGGGGGCUUCCUUUUAGUAUUUUCAUCAAAAGUAUGAUUAGCCCGGAAUAAAUGCCUCAACAUAUAAUAUUCAUUAUAUAAAAUAUCAUCUAUCAUAGGAUGUUCAUGACUCAUAUUAUAGAAAUCAAAGAUCUCUCUAGCCACUCGCACUAUGUAUUCAAAUUCAUUUAUGAGGAUAAGAGUAGCUAUCUUUUUAGCCUUGGGGUUGUUUAUGAUAGGCAACUCAUUGGAAUGAGUAUGAAUAUAUCUUCUCUAAAGCUUAAGAAGAAGUGCAUAAAUAGCUUUGGCGUAACUAUUGGUUCUUUUCAGAAUAGGAACAUCGCUGCAAACUAAUGCUCCCGUACAAGUGAAAAAUUGCUGAAUAGUUGUUUUCCCUAUGAUGUUCUCACAAAAAAUAGAAUCCAAAUUUGAGGGAAUUUCUACCUUAGGCAUUUUACCCUCUUCACCUUAUUUGAUAACAAAUUAAGGCAUGGUGACAAUUUGAAGCAAACAAGCAAAAAGACAAAUGAAUUUUUUUGUGUUAUUUGUAAAACUGUUUUAGAAGUGGGGGAGAUGAAAACAAGAGGCAAACGACAAAUGAAAGUAAAUACAAGUAUAUGAUAGUUUGUGUGCACGUACUUGAUAGGUUUUGGUGAUGUCUCCCCGUCAAUGGCGUCAGAAAUUCUUCCUGCUACUUGUGAGUUGCGUUGGGAUUUCCCCAAAGAGGAGAGGAUGAUGUAAUACAGUAGAGAUAAGUAUGUCCCUCGAUUAAGAACCAAGAUUAUCUAUCUAGUAGGAGAACGACGCAAAACCUCGUUAGCAGCAUCUGCACACACAAAAACAAAUACUUGCACCCAACGCAAACAAAGGUGUUGUCAAUCCCCUCGGCGGUUAAUUGCAAGGAUCAUAGCUCGUAGUGAUAGAUAGAUAGAUUAAAAUAUCAAAUAAAAUAAUGGUAAAUAAAUUGCAGUAAGGUAUUUUUCGAUUUGAUAUAUGAUAAAAGUAGACCCGGGGGCCAUAGUUUUCACUAGAGGCUUCUCUCUCGAAUAAAAAGCAUACAGUUGGUGAACAAAUUACUCUUGGGCAAUUGAUAGAAAAGCGCAUAGUUAUGAUGAUAUUCAAGGCAAUGAUCAUGUAUAUAGGCAUCACGUCCGAGACAAGUAGACCGACUCCUGCCUGCAUCUAUUAAUAUUACUCCACCCAUCAACCGUUAGCCAGCAUGCGUCUAGAGUAUUAAGUUAGAAAACCGGAGUAACACCUUAAGCAAGAUGACAUGAUGUAGACAAAGUAAAUCCAACAAAUAUGAAUAAAACCCGUCGUUUCCCCCUUAAUGGCAACAAUACAAAUAGGUGUCUUGUCCCCUUCUAUCAUUGGGAUAUAGAGCACUGCAAGAUUGAACGCAUUACAAAUCACCUCUCCAUUUGCAAGAUAAAUCAAUCUAGUUGGCCAAACCAAACCGAUAGAUCGGAAGAAAUACAAAUCUAUAAUAAUCAUGCAUAAAAUAAUUCAGAAAAUACUCAAAUAUUUCUCAUGAAUAAUCUGAUCAUAAACCCACAAUUCAUCAGAUCCCAACAAACACACCACAAAAGUAGAUUACAUCAAAUAGAUUUCCAAGAACAUUGAGGAGAACACUGUAUUGAAGAUCAAAGAGAGAGAAGAAGCCAUCUAACUACUAGCUAUGGACCCAUAGGUCUAUGGUAAACUACUCACACAUCAUCGGAAGGGAAGCAAGGUUGAUAUAUAAGCCCUUCGUGAUCGAUUCCCCCGUUGACAGAGUGCCGGAAAAGGCCUCUAGAUGGGAUCGCGGAAGAACAAACACUUGCGGGGGCAGAAUUUUUUCUCAAUGGCUCUUUGUUGGUUUCCUGGUUUUAGAGAAUUUAUAGAGGCGGAAUUAGGUCGGAGGGAGCAUCGAGGGACCCACAAGGUAUCAGGGUGCCUCCCUAGAGCGCGCCCUAGUGCCUUGUUGUCUACUCCUUUGCCUUCUUGCCUCCUCCCGAAGCUUCUAGGGUCUCUCUUGUCCAGAAAAUUGUGAAAAAAAAUCAUAGCGUUUGGAAUUCGUUUGGUACUGAUUUCCUGGAAAACCAAAAACAAGCAAAAAAUGACAACUGGCACUUGGCACUGGGUUAAUAGGUUAGUCCCAGAAAAACAUAUAUAAUUCAUAUAGAACAUCCAAGAUUGAUAUUAUAAUAAUGUGGAACAGUAAAAAAUUAUAGAUACGUUGGAACAUAUCAGGAUUCGAAAAAUUCAACAAGUGUAGGUUUCUGGUUUUGCGCUUUACACUUGUACCUCAAACAGGAUAUGAUGAACGUUAUUCCCAUUUACUUAUGAAAAAAUAUGAUAAUUUGCAAGUACGAAGCUUGAGUGCUUACCCAACUAUGAUAAGCUGCAAUAUAGCUUCGAGAGCCAGUUUUGUGGGGGAGGUUUACAACACUUCGGUUUGCUUUAUUCUUGGCACAUAUCUCCUAUGGAUUGAAGCAUAAAAGUUCAAUCUCUUAGAUUAAGCACAAAUUACCUGGUAGCGCUCAUGUUUCCGCUCUUUUACUAGAUCUAUAUAGUCAUUAUCUAUAAUAGUCAUUGGCUUCAACAACAAUGCUUGCUCGUCUGUAACAUUUUUAGCCUCACUUAAAAUUUCGCCUUGAGUCGGUGCUUGUGUGACCACAUGCUUUUCUGAAUGAUAUGAUCAGCCACUGCUCUGGCCAAUUUAGCGUUGCGUGGAAACUCAAACCUUUGCUACGGAUAUCAUACACACAUGCAUGUUAGAACAUUUAGAGCGGGAAGAUAAAAAGAUGUGGCAUGGCACAAUUGCAAAACGGGUUCAUUUCAUGUUGACCUUGAAGUCGUCAAAAAAUUCAGGAAGCAAAUGUCGGUUCCCUAGUACAUUGUACUCCUUCCGCUUGGUUUUUAUGGGCAUCUUAGUUCUGACUUGAUAGCCAACCUCCGAACUAAAUUUUGUUGUUGUAGAGGGUUAAUAGGCAUGUUUGCUCCCUCCAUGAAGUCCUUCACAGAGGGAAGAAAGGGUUUGCAGAGGUGCUAGAGCUCGAAGCUUAAAAUAGAGAUAAAUAUAAUUUUGGGAGGUAUGGCUUUCCUGUCAAUGUCACGAUGGAGAGUUUUCAAUGUCUUCCAUGCGAAAGAAAUUAGCGGCAGUUCCCAAGCGGUAAAGUAAAGUAUACCCCCCCCCCCUCCACCAAUAUGACAAGCCAUGGCUAGCCGAAUCCUCGGGUGCCCUCCAUGCCAACAACUUUUUGGAGGAGUUUGUUUCAUUUUUUUGCGAUUUGAUCGUGGGACUGGGCAUCCUAAUUACCAGCCCCUCUUGUGUAAGGACAAGUGAAUAAACAGCCGCCAUGAGAAUAAUCCGCUUAGCAUGGAAGAUACUAACCGUCCCCCUGUCGCUCCAUGAGCAGUACAGCCACACAAAAUAGAUGUUCAUUUGAAUGUUUAGAGUUGGCAUAUGCAAAUUUACUUGGAAUGGCAGAGUAAUACCACAUAUAGGUAGAUAUAGUGGACUCAUCUGGAACACCUUUGGUUUAGGGAUUUAAAUGCACAAGUAGUAUUCCCGCUUAGUACAGGUGAAGGCUAGCAAAUAGAUUGAGAAGUGACCAACCAGAGAGCGAAAACGAUCAUAAACAUGCAUUGAGAAUAAUUACUAUUGAAUACGAGCAUGAGUAGGAUAUCAAACACCAUGAACAUAAAUAUCAUGGAGGCUAUGUUGGUUUUGAAUCAACUAUAUGAAGGAAAUAUGCCCUAGAGGCAAUAAUAAAGUUGUUAUUUUAUAUUUCCUUAUUCAUUAUAAAUGUUUAUUAUUCAUGCUAGAAUUAUAUUAACUGGAAACUUGAUACAUGUGUGGAUACAUAGACAAAACUACGUGUCCCUAGUAUGCCUCUACUAGACUAGCUCGUUGAUCAAAAGAUGGUUAAGUUUCCUAGCCAUGGACAUGAGUUGUCAUUUGCACUACAAAAAAUACACUUCCGUGAUGAUACGUGUUUGUCACAGUAGGUCGCGUUUUUUGUCAUACAUGUACAUCCAUGACGAUUUUAUGACAGAAUCAAGAUAGUCAUACAUGUGAUGUCGUAGAAGUGUUCCAUGACAUUAACAAAAUUAUCAUCACGGAAUUGUCCACUUCCAUGACGGUAAAUCGCGCAUCACAGAAGUGCUUUCGUCAAGGGUGACCGACACGUGGCAUCCACCAUAACGGAACACCUUUAAGCUAUCGGGUCGGGUUUUGGAUCCGAUAACCCGUUAACAGCCCCGACCAAUGGGGAUUUUCCACGUGUAAAAUCAUCAUUGGCUGGAGGAAACACGUGCCGGCUCAUUGCUGGGACAGAUGUUAUCCACUCAUUGGACAGAAGGCGCCUAUGAUACAUCGACACGUGGCACAGCCCAACAGAGGCCCGUUCCUGUGAAAAGGCCGGCCCGUUUGACUUGGUCAAAAGGUGGCGGGCCGGCCCAUGGAAAGCCUGUUAAUGGCAUGUUCGCAUAUAGCCCAUUUACAGACCGCUAACCCAAGGCCCGUUACGCCCUAUUCGAAUUAGGCCCAGUAGCGUCAUCUGGGCCAUCCAAUAUGAUUCUAGCCCAUUUUCACUUCUGGCUCAUGUAUGGCCCAUGACGUCUUUUGGCCCAUAUGAGGCCCUAUGUAACUCUUGGCCUAUUAACGGCCCAUGGUGAAACUGGCCCGUAACGAACAAUGUAUCACUUUACACCCAUUAACGGCCCGUGGUGAAACUGGCCCGUAAAGAAAAGUGUAUCACUUUAUACCCAUUAACAACCCGUUAUUCCGUUGGGCCGUUUCCAGACCAUGUUAUCUUUCGGCCUUCUCAGAGCCCAUUUAUUCUUGGGCUCAUUUCCAACAUUCAUUUACUUACGGCCAGUUACUGUCAUUUUCUGCUUGUGGGCCAAAUUCAGCUCAUGGUUACAGUCGGCCCGUUUGUGGUCCGUUAAUACGUUGGGCCAUUUUCAUAGCAUUGUCAAAUACGGCAUAUUAACGAUGGCCCAUUAUGGUCGGCCCAUGAACGGACGAUUCCAACUCUAGCCCGUUUACGGCCAGAAUGCGGUCUGUUUGGCCCAUGUUUGGCCAAUCGAUCAUACGGCCCGUAUAAGGCCCAUUGAUGAUACGACCCGUAGAAGGCCCAUUGUUUCUACGGCCCGUAGAAGGCCCAUUGUUUCUACGGCCCGUAGAAGGCCCACUGUUUCUACGGCCCGUAGAAGGCCCACUGUUUCUAUGGCCCGUAGAAGGCCCACUGUUUCUACGGCCCAUAGGAGGCCCAGUGUCACUACAGUAAAUAUUAGCCCAUGGUUAUUGUGGCCUAGUUUUAAAAAAUAGGUUAUUGCAGCCACUAGCAAACCGCGGAAAAAACGGCACUUACUACAAGCAAACAAAUAAACAAGACAACAAGGAAAUAAAUAAGCAAGCAACUUACACUAGGCUAUCACGGCUAUUACACACAUCACAUCCACUGGGCAUCAAAGUUCACCACCAGUGCAAAUAUAGGGAACAAAGCAGCAUAUAAACGCCGCAGCAAAACAAGUCCAGAACUGAAACCACUUCAGAAGAGCUCAAGAAACAAUAUCCUGGGUACCGAUAAUGCUGGCAAGAUGGUUAGCAAGCUUAUUAACUUUCUCUUGUUUGGCGCUUAAAUCCUCCAGCACUUGUUGUUGCGCAAGAAAGUACGCAUCUGAAUUCUGCAGGGACUUCCUCAGUCCUUCGGCUUCUUGCCGCAGCACAGCUGACUGAUGCCUUUCAGCUUGUAGCUGAGACUGAAGAAGCCGAAGUGAUUCAGGCAGCAAGUUCGAAGAGCUUGUGCCAGCGGUACUGGCCAGUAACUCAAACACUACAUCAACGCAGGACUAUGGGGUUUUCUCACUGUCUACAAGAUCGUUUUUAUCACCUUUCUUGGAGACCAACAGGGUUUUCUCACUAUCUUGAACCUUAUCUGCAUUACUUCCUUUACCGUUGCAUAACAGGGUACUCUUCUCCAAUAUUUUAUCCGCGUUCUAAAAGAGAAACAAACAAACACAUCUCAAGUUUACAAUGUAGUAUAUGAUACUCAUUUUGGUAAACCAGUUCAGUAGUAAGAUGGAUAGGAUAACAGCAUGAAACAAACAUAUAUCUAUGUAUUAUGGUCAUUCUAUGGUCUAUAUCAUUCUAGUUUAUGUUGCCAAAUCAAGAUAGAUACAGUUCGAAUCAUAUCUAUUUAAGACAAAGCAGCAUAGACAGAAUAUAAGUGUGGGAAACUACACAACAAUAACAACACUUGUAAUGUGCAUGGCAUGAGAACAUAAUUGUUUAUUCAAUUGAAACUAAAAUCAACAUAGAGCAAGUUACAACAGCAAACAGCCAAACACGUUAAAGAAACAGGUUUAAUACAUACCUGUUGCACCAUUGGAGUUUCAAUUGCAUCUUUCAAAUUUGAAAUUAGUUGGUAUCAGUAAAUACAGUGAUGCAAGAGCAAAGUAGUAUGAACCAUAGCUACGGAACCUGACCUGAGAACAAUUCUUCUUUUGCUUUAAGCAUUGACUUCAGGUUCGGAGUGGUGGUCCUCGUGAUUUGGGCACUGCAGUUGCCUUACUAACUGCUCGUGUUUGGGUGCUCUGUGGUGGAGACGGUGUUGUGUCAACAGGAACUGGGUGUCUAUCUGAUGGGGUUGGGGUUAGAAGGGGUGUAGCUGGUUCUCUGUCCAGUUGGGUAGGGGUACAAUCUGCAUGAGUGUGGGUUAUGUGUGGUGGGGCUAGUUCUUGGGCAAGUACAACCAUGGUUCUAUCUGCAUCGACAGGUAGCACGAUCUUUUCUGAAGACCGUGUUUUUACUCCCACAGAUACUGCCAUUACUCCCUCCAAUUGAAAUGGCUGAUAAACAAGAAAAGUAAUUGAAUGUACAGACAUUGUAAUAUAGACAGGUGCAAUGGAUAGUAGGGAAGAAAAUAGGGCAUGAAAUAAUUCACAUUUAUGUUGUCUAAGAAACAGAAUAGCAGGACAUAAUUUCACAUAUAUGAUGGCUAAUUAAACAGGAUAGCAUGACACAAUUUCACAUGUAUGAUGGCUAACUAAACAGGAUAGAAUGACAUACUUCAAAAUAUGAUGAAUAUGUAAACAGGAUGACAUGAUAUAACUAUACGAUAUGUCUAUUAAAGCGCUUGGCAUGCCAUAAAUCACAAAUAUGCCAUCGAUGGAAACAUGACGGCAUGAUAUAAUUCACGGAUAGAAUGACAUAAUUUAAAAUAUGAUGACUAUGUAAACAGGAUGAGAUGAUAUAACUAUAUUAUGUCUUUAGAAAAUGGGUUGGCAUGCCAUAAUUCAGAUACAUGUUGUCUAUGUAAACAUCAUGGCAUGACAUAAUUCAAAUAUAUGAUUUAUAUACUAAGGAAGUGAGCAGAGGGCAAUCGCAUAUAUGAUGUGUCAACUAAGGAGAUGGCAUUCAAUAUUGUGUAUAUGAUGUAAAAACUAAGCAUUGCAAUACAACAUAUGCAUUAUAUGAGUAAUAUAACCCUGCCAAGUUUGAGCAUACACCUCAGGGGGAUAAUAGGACUGGUCAUCUGCCUCUGAAUCCUCCUCUAAAGAGCUAUCUAUAACCAGCAAGAUAUCUGCUUCAGCAGGUAGCAUUGUGUGCUCUAAAGACCUUGUUUUCACUCCAGAUUUCUCCAUCACCAAUUCAAAUGGCUGAUGCACAGGAAGAGCAGUUGAAUAUACAAACAUUGUCAACAAAAGCAAUUAGAAAUACAAAAAAAAGGACGGCAUGAUAUAAUUCACAUAUAUGACGCUUGCCUAAACAGCAUGGCAUUGCAUAAUUCACAUACAUAAUGCCUUGCAACAAGAUAACAUUGCAUAAUUCACAUAUAUAAUGUCUUGCAACAAGAUGGCAUUGCAUAAUUCACAUAUAUGGUAAUUAGACACUAAACAGGUGGCAUUCACACAAAGCAUGUCUAAACUAAGCAAAUGACACAGCAAUGCAAGAUACCAUACGCAUGAUAUGAGCAACAUAACCCUGCCAAGUUAGGGCAUGCACCUCGGGGGGGGGGUAUGAUUGGUCAUCUGUCUCUGAAUCCUCCUCUAAGGAGCUAUCGGUAACCAACAAGACAUGCGCUUCAUCAGAUAGCAUUGUCUGCUCUGAAGACCUUGUUUCCACUCCAGAUUUUUCCAUGCCCAUGUUGAAUGGCGGAUGCACAGGAAGAGUAAUUGAAUGUACUAAAAUUGUUGACAAAUUUAACAUGUAAUAAAAAAAUGAUGGCAUGAUAUAAUUCACAUAUAAGAUGACUGGCUAACCAGGGUGGCAUUGCAAAAUUCACAUAUAUGAUGCCUGGCUAGACAAGAUGGCAUUGCAUGAUUCACAUAUACGAUAAAGAAACUAAACAGAUGGCAUUGACACAAAGCAUGUCUAAACUAAGCAGACGACAUCUUUAAUGUAUACAGUAAGCAAUGCAAUGCACCAUAUGUAUGAUAUUACCAACAUCAGCAUGCCAAGUUAGAGCGAAGACCUCAUGGGGUAAAUAGGAGUGGUCUUCUCCUUCUGAAUCCCCCUCAGAAUAGUUAUCUUCCUCUUGAUUACGAUCCGAAAUGGGUGGAGGGGGGGCUGCCUUUACACCCACCAUGGAACGACGUCUGCAUGAAAUUUUAUUGCCAUGCAAGGCUCGUCCCUUUUGCUCUACAUGAUCAGUUCCAUUGUGUACAAUAACUGGCAUGCAUAGGAAUAAAACAUAGUGAGAUUAUGUAAGGAGUGCAUGCACAAAUCCAGAGUGAUGGUAGCAAACUGUGGAUAGACCCAAAACCAAUGAUAGCAGGCAGAUAAUAGCUUUAGUUAAAAAAUACAGAUAAUGGCUCCUUUAAUGUUUGUUUGCACCCAACAUGAAACUCAUAGUAGACACCGGAGAUUAACCAGAUAGUAGACAGAUAGUACUGAUUGCUGCCCCAAUAUGUACCCCACAACCAUUUAAAAACUCAAGUUUCAGCAUUAGUUUGGACCUGACUCGGAGUCUACUAGGUGAACAUGACGAUAUUGUAGCAUGUCAUCAUAUUAAGCGACGCAUAACGUAAGCAGACACGGAAGAGUGCGACCUCUCUUGCGGAACUGUGUAGUCCUCAAGGUCAUCUGUUUGUUGAUGAUGGUAAUGCAGUUGUCGUGGCUGCCGGCGGCGGGGAAGAAGAUCUGAGGUGGCGAAAGACAGUCUGGAGAGCGGAUCCCUGCUGCGGUGAACCCUUCCGUCGUUGGAGCAGCUGAGCUGGGGUUGAACACAGCGCCGCAGGAGCAGGACAAACCACACAAGGUUUUCUUUGACACAUAUCUGUAACAGAAGUAAUUGAGUAAGGGCUUGUUUGAAUUUGAGGAUUCUAACAAUGCAGGGAUAGGAAAUAGACAGGAAUAGGAUAGGAAUGCACGUGCAAAACAGAGAAUUUGAAAACACAGGAUUUCUGCCAAUCUGGGUGUUUGAUUCACAACAAUUGGAAGAUCACAGGAUGCAAAAAAGCAUGGUGAGAUUAAGUCAAACCACAAGAAAAUGUAUGGUUAUAAUGCUAUUAUGCUACUAUCUCUUAGUCUUGUGCUUGAUGAAUAGGAAUAUGAAAAGGAGGAGAAGUGGAAAUUAGAAUUCCUACUGUUUUUGUUUCAAGGAGACACUAACGGAACAGAUCCUACAGUUUUCCUUUGCUCCAUUCCUUUGCACCAAAUUCAUGAAAAGUAGUACCAUAGGAAACUUUCCAAUUCCUAUGUUUUUCAUUCACUUUUCCUUUCAAGCACUGACGAUUCUAGUAGGCAGGCUUGAGCAAGGAAAAUCCUACACUAAAAAAGUGUUUUUGUGCUACUUCUAUUACUUUGGACCCAGGCCACUGACAUACUAGCUCAACUCCCAGGCCCAUCGACAAAUGUACAACUCAAACGCGCAGAGAUAAAUAAUUAUGGCGUUCAAGAGAGUCCAUCAUGGAUAGCUAUGUUGCCUGGUACCUCACUGCUUGUCAUAUAGUAGGAAAAAAUAAUUGUAUUUCCCGUUACUACGAGUGCUCAGUGGACAAUAUAUAUAACAUGUAGAGUAAAAAAGAGAUGCAACAAGUGUACAACCUCUUUGGCGAAGCCAUGUCGAUCUCAGCGUGAUUGGGUUGGCCGGUGAGGAUGCUCCGGCUGACUUGGCUGUCGGAGGAGGGGAAGAAGAUCUUAGGUGUCUAGAGAUGGAGCCCGAGGUACUACUCCACUGUGAUGGAGGGUUUCAUCGUUGGAGCGGCUCCGGUGAGUUGUACGACGCCGAGGCUGAAGCAGGACAAGAGAGAUAACGAACAACAUUAACCUGAGUGGAAUUCUAAUAGCAUCUCCAAUACAUGACGUAAAAUACAUAACCACAAAGUGCUAGAUGUAAAAUACAUCAGCCGCUCAUCUCUGAACUUAACUGUCAAAACUGAACUUAACUGUCGAAACUGAACUUAACUAUCGAAACUGAACUUAAUUGUCGAAACUGAAUUUUGCUGUCGAAACUGAAUUUUGCUGUCAAAAAUGAACGCACUAGCAAGGUGAGGCUACACGUUGGUUGACUGACUUUUUCAUCUCUGGUUAGUCGAUUUUGCAGCCGUUGGAUACAAAAUCAAGGGCAUGCGGUUCAUCUUCAACCUCCACCCCCCUGAGCCGCCAGCCACCAACGGCCAAACAGCAGCCCCCCGCCGCCCGCGGCCGACGGUGCGCCACCCCGCCCGCCCCGAAAACACUCCCCACCGCCGGNNNNNNNNNNNNNNNNNNNNNNNNNNNNNNNNNNNNNNNNNNNNNNNNNNNNNNNNNNNNNNNNNNNNNNNNNNNNNNNNNNNNNNNNNNNNNNNNNNNNNNNNNNNNNNNNNNNNNNNNNNNNNNNNNNNNNNNNNNNNNNNNNNNNNNNNNNNNNNNNNNNNNNNNNNNNNNNNNNNNNNNNNNNNNNNNNNNNNNNNNNNNNNNNNNNNNNNNNNNNNNNNNNNNNNNNNNNNNNNNNNNNNNNNNNNNNNNNNNNNNNNNNNNNNNNNNNNNNNNNNNNNNNNNNNNNNNNNNNNNNNNNNNNNNNNNCGCUGCAGCUGGUUCUUCCUUCACCCCGGUGAGCCCCCCCCCCUGAAAAUCGAUUGACCCAAAAGUCGACUCAGUCGACUGAAGUGUAGCUAAAUUGGAGAAGCAUCACAAGCAAGAGCAAGAGCGAGAGCAGCAGCGCGAGCAAGAGCAAUAGCAAUAGCAAGAGCAUACCAGGCAGGGGACCGAGAGCAAGAGCAGAGCAGCAGCGCGAGCAAGAGCUAAAGCAGCAGCUCCUACUGAUGUGGACGUCGCCGCCGAGGGAGCGACACCAUGGAGGAAGUGGCCGGCGAUGCCGCCGUGGAUGGAGCCGCGCCGUGUCGGCUCGGGACCGAGCGCCGGCAGCACCGUGAGAUCGAAUCAAGAAGAAAAUGUGGAAAUUAGUGUACAACCUCUUUGGUGGCGCCGAUUAGGCCGCAGCUUCAUCCGAGGAAACGGCGAUGAUGAUGCCCUUCCGGUGCAGCAGGUGAAGACGGCGAUGUGGGAAUGGAGGUGGCGCGAAAGACAAGGGGAGCGUCAGGGCAGCUCCUUGGAGGUGGAGGACGGGGUGGCUGAACCGGUGGGACCAUGAGAUCGACGAGGGAUCCUCAUCCGGUAUGGUGGAUGAGGGACGUCGAGGUGUUGCUAUGGACGACAUCGUCGGGGAAGAGGCUCCGGCUGGGUGGCGGACGGAUCAGGGUGUGGGGCUUCAUCGCGGGUUUUCGCGGCCUCGGUGUAUGAAUGGGUGGGCAGAUGGGAUGGCAGUGGGGAACCAUGUCUUAGGGACGCGCUUGUGCGAAAUGUAGGGUAAGUUACGAAAGUACCCCCACCGAUUUGAGGCGCUUCUUUCGGUUCAGGGGUACCACGGGCAUUUUGCGUUUUGGGAUUUCACAUGAGGUGGGAGUUUUCGCGCGCGUUGUAAUUUCGGAAUAGCAAGGCGCGGGUUGAGAUGGAGGGAGUUGUCGGAGCACGACGAGACAAAGAUAUAUCUUAAAUAUUUCGGGCUAACAAGGCGCGGGUUGAAGAGGCGAGAGUUUCGCAGCAUGAUAGACAGAGACGCUAGCUUGAAUUUUCGGCAUAGCAAGGCGCGACUUGGAAUUUCGGAAGAACAAGCUUAACGUGUACCCAAAAAAGACAAUUUGCACCUCAACAUGCACAACACACCCACAAAAACACCAUUUAGACUAGAGUAAGGUACAUGUGCAUUGCACGCAUGAGAUUUGGCAACCAAAUUAUGAAUAAAUACCACAUUAUAGCAUGUAAGCUUUGAGUCAUAUAUGCAUGAUGUAGAUGUUCGUUUAAUUCUUAUAGUUCAUUUCAUUCAAAAUCAUCUAGUUUUUAUAAGAAAGCUAAUCUAUUUUAAGAUUCAUGGAAUUGUGCGUUGUAAGACAUAAAGUAAAAACAAAUAAUGGCAAAUCAUGUAGAAAAACAUUUGGGCAAUUCUGAUACGGAAGAUUCUAGAACAAAUAAGAAGUGCUUGUGUUUUGAUGUUUGUGCAUUAGGCUUAAGUUCAACCAUGGAGUCUUCUAGAUUAUACAUGUGGCGAAAUCUGGUGGAAUCUAGAUGAUAUCCAACGGCAAGUAGUGCUCAAAUUUGCCAUCUUUGGACCAUCGGAUUCGCCUCAUCCAACGACCAUCUUUCAAAGUUAAAGUAACCCGCACACAAUAAAAAAAUGUAAAAUAUAAUAUAUAUAUAUAUAGGGGUAUAGAUAUAGAUAUGUGAUGCGAAAGCCUCCCAUCAUCUCCAAUUAGAAUAGUGUGUCCAUGCACGGAUGCAACGUAGCCAAAUAAUGUCUGCCAUCGGUAUCUCAAAUUCAAAUCAGUCCGACCUUGUUCAAUGUGUAUACAUUACAACAUGCUCGUUUCCAAAUCACAGCGCGCAGAUCUCCGUUAUAUUCAUGCAUGCAUGGGUUUCAAACAUCAGGAUCUCUUAUUCAAAUAUUUGAAUUCAACUUUACAUUGAUUGUGACCUCACCUAGUCUUUUACACCCACACAGUUGUCUUCUCUUUAUAAUUGUACCACUAACUUUCUCUCGUGCAUGCAUGCACACACACUACCAGUCGGCAUUAUCCAUCGUGCACAUGCAAUCUUUUUCUUCAGGUCGGUCUCCCAUGAAGUCUCACACCCACACACAUCCCCCUCUCCAUCAUAUCGGGCAUUCUUUAUCUCUCACGCGUGCAUGCGCAACGAUCGAUGUUCCUCUAUGUAUGUGUGUAUAUAGCUAGGUCUUUCAUAGUUUUCCACACAAAUCGUUCAAUCGAUAUAUCCAGUGAGGUCUCACCCUCUUUCCCACGUCCACAUCGAUCAAUCUAUACCUCUCUAUAUAGGACUAACAUAUAUAGCUAAUACACCCACAUUAAUUAUAUAUCCAACGUCCCCCUCUCAUCAUCCAUGCCUUCCGCUUCAUUUCUCAGACGCGUGCACAAUGGCGAAGACAGGUGGAGUAAGGGCCCUGCCCCCCCCCCCUAACAUCACUAUAUAUCGAGGCUAAUAUGAAUGUGAUCAAUAGGCAAUUGCUGCUAAAAAUGGUUUAAGUUCAUGAAUUGACCCUCCUCGUAAAGGAUUAGCAAUGCUUGGCCCCCUAGCUCAUUUAUUUUUCAUGGCUCCACCACUACGUGCAACAGCGCACGUUCUCGCCCCCUCUCUCUAAAUAUCGAUCUCGCACUUGUGCAUUCCUUCAUAGUCUCCCUCCACUCGGCCCCUCGCACCAUCUUCUAGCCCCCCACCGGAUUUUGCUACAUGUACAAUCUAGCAGACUCCAUGGUUAAACUUAAGCAUAAUGCACAAACCUCAAAACAAUAGUGGUUCUCUUUUGUUCUAGAAUCUUCCGUAUCAUAACUGCCCAAACUUUUAUUCUAGUUGAAUUGCCAUUAUUUGUUUUUACUUUAUGCUUUACAACGCACAAUUCCAUGAAUCAUAAAAUAGAUUAAGGGCUUCUUUGAUUCAAAGGAUUCUCAAAGGAAUUUUGGAGGAUUCUAAUCAUUAGGAAUUUUUCCUAUCUUGGUUGUUUGAUUCGUAGGAUUGUAAAUCAUAGGAAAUUUUCGAUAAAAUUCAUUUGCACUAGAUUUCAUAGGAAACAUCCCAUCCACUCAAACCUCUUUGAAAGAAUUCUGCGUUUUUUCUAUGCACAAUCAAACACUCAUACAAUCCUAUAGGAUUCAAGAUGACAUUCCACUAUAAUCCCAUGUUUUUCCUAUUCCCGCGUUCUUAGCUUUUUUAUAAAAACUAAUUGAUUUUGAAUGAGAUGAAUUAUAAAAAUUAAACGAAGGGCUACAUCAGGCAUAUAUGACUCAGAGCUUACAUGCUAUAGUGUGGUAUUUAUUCAUAAUUUGGUUGCAAAAUCUGAUGCGUGCAAUGCACGUGUACCUUACUAGUACUUCGAGUAUGUGCAAAACACGCAAAUUAGAAUACCAAUGGCACGCUACACAGUGUCUCUUUUACAGUUCAUGAAGCCACAUGGCACAUGUGGAGGCGUUGUCGCGACCUCCUUGUGUGGAUUGAUCAUACUGACGUGCUGCUGGUUCCAGAAGAAUGUACUCGUGCUCCCUGAGCCAUACUGGCGGUACAUGCAUGAAGCGAAGAUGUGCACGCACGCACUCAUUCCCUCGCAUGCACACGUGGGUACACGGGCGGACGCAAUUUUGUACCAAGAUCCACCCCAUGUGAUAAUUUGACAUGUGUAAAGUCGUUCACUUCAUUGAUGGUCAAUUAAUACAGCGCAUGCAAAUUGAGUGGACAUGAGGGCGGAAGAAAGACAUUAUUACUCCACUGCGCGCAUGCGAGUAGUUAAAUCGUGGGUUGCUAGUAGUACUUCCAUUGGUCUCCUUCGUAUUUUGUGCCAAUUUUUGACUGUAACAUAAUACUCCCUCCGUUCCUAAAUGUAAGUCUUUGUAGAGAUUUCACUGUAAACCGCAUACGGAUGUAUAUAGAUGCAUUUUAAGUCUAGAUUCAUUUAUUUUGCUCCGUAUGUAGUCCACCUAGUGGAUCUCUACAAAGACUUAUAUUUAAGAACGGAGGAAGUAUUUACGCAUUUGAGUAGUGUAGUACUUGAAAUUUAUGUUCCGCUAAACUCAUUGGGAGCCGUUUCGGGCCUCGAAACCAAAACCAUCAAUUAACCUUUACCUUGUUCCCAUCACAUUCGAAAGCCUGCUCACACCUACUAGUACGUACCAAACCUGAACGUGUUCCCACUAUGCAGGUAUUAGUACUAGUGCUAGUACUUAGGUUAUAAAAAGGGGAACUACCUAACCAAAAAUUACUCUACCUUUCCUCCUCAUAAGUGCUUCUUCUUUGUUCGUCGUUGCCAUGGCUGGUGAGCAGAGCUCUAGGUCGAGAACUACUCGUAACAAGGGAGCGACAACCAAGGCUGCAGAAAAAAAAAGAGGGCUUGCUGCCACGCAGAGACCUUGAAAGAUCUCUCACAGGCAGGCGAUGGCUCCCAGGAGCACCCUAGCCGCGGAGGCGAACAUGCCGAGCCGGCGGAGCUGGAGUCGUUAUCCCUUGACGGCAUGCCCGAUCAGCUCAAGAAGCACCUCAAUAAGCAGAAGGAGUGCAUCCAAGGCUUGAUGGAGUUGUUGAAUGAGAGCCUCGACGACAUGCCCGCUGAGCUCAAUCAGCAGGGGGAGUUGACCGCCGGCUUGGUGAUGCUGCUGAAGAAGAGCAUUGCCUUGGAGAAGAAGGCGACCGGAAAAAUCCUGCGACUUCAGGAGGACAAGGCGAAGCUCUACCACGAGAUCGACCUAUUGAAGGAGAAGAACGCCGGCUGGAAGAAGCUGCAUGAGAAUAGUAGUUCUUCGAUGAAGAUGCUGCAGGCCCUCAUCAUGGAACAGAAGGAGGAGUUGGCAAAGCUCCGCAUCGAGCACCCGGCUGCUGUCAAGGUACGUAAUGCGGCCGUGGAAUAGAUGAUGAAGGCUCGUGUCGAGAAAUCCCGCGUCAUGGACAGAAUGAAGAAGAUGGCGGAGGAGACGCGCAAGGAAAUGGACGUCGUGGAGGCGAUGAAGAAGCAGUUACGACUACGCGGCAAAUUAGAUCAUUUGGGGUGAUAAUCUUCCUUCUUCUUUUGCUCCUGUGUUUCAUCUUUUGCUUCGGGUGUUUCACCGCACGUGUCACGUUCUCUGCGAGGCAUGAAUAGAAUAAUAGUUUUUUAGGGAAUGAAUAGAACAAUGCUAACAAUGAGAUGACUAGAAAAUUAGAUCAUUUUUAUCGCCAUAUGGCACUGGGCUGCCGUGUUUCGUGCUCCUCCGUUGCAGUACUACUCCAGUGGAAAACUUGAGUAUACCGCAUGGUUCUUUGCUCCUCCUCAGGUUGUCGGCGCAUUUAUACGAGCAGUCAAAUCACAAGGCCCCGCCUUCCAGCAGUAAUGAGCCGUCAAAUCCCAAAGGCCCUUGCCUCUCGUGAAACCGACCAAGCUAGACUGCCCCGCCCUCUAGCCUUUUAAAAAAUGUAUACUUUUGUACAACAGUAGUAUCGAUGGAUUGCGCCAUGGAGCAAAACUUGAAAUAAAAAAAAGGUGGUACAUAUAGAGAGCGCUCGUCGCCAAAUUAUGCAUAUAGUACUAUUAAAAAGGCUAGUCUCAAUAAUGGUGUCCAGCACAACCCACCCCUCAAAUAAAACUAAGCAUCCUGGAAUUCUUUGACAAAACUAAGCACCUUGAAAUUCUUUGACAACUAAACUGCUGGCUAUAUGAUGAUGGCCAUAUAUAUUGUACGUAUAUAAUGCGAAGAAACGAGUGGUAAUACUAUACCAACUAAAAGAUGAAAUGUAAGAAAUACUAGUAGUAUGUACGUACUGAAGAGUUAAAGUAACGAGAAGAAACAUAACAUAGUUCUGCUGGGGGCUCAGCACAACACACUCCUCAAAUUAAAUUAAGCACACCUAAAAUUAAACUUUGCAACUAUUCUAGUAGACACUGCAUUAGAACCACCAUCAGCAACGAUACUGCCACCUUACUCGGAGGAGUCCUCGUCCAUGUCCUCGACUUUGUCCUUGUCCCUCUUCCUCUUGGCUGAUACUUCUUUGCUUGAACCGCACACUUGGCUCUUGCUCUUCAUCCAACCCUUGUAGAUAUUGAAACAAAGGCAGCCAUCCAUUGCAGCGUAGUGGAUGUGGUCUAUAUCUAGUACAUUCCGCUGCCAUGCAUAACGAUGAAACGUGUAUGGAGGUUUCUCCAGUUUACCGUACGAAGGAUGAACCAUGGCUCCUGCCAGGGUCAGCAUUGAAGGCUGAUGAGAGGACACCAGCCGAUUUUUCUGGAGGUCGAAGGGGUUGCCUACAAUGAGGCCUAUCCGACCCAGGACUCCUUUAUCGUUCCCAAAGUCUACAGUAACGAAUUUGACUAGGUUGCUCUUGAGGAAGUCCUUAAAAUCCAGACAUUCAAUGUCGGCAUGGCAUAUGUGGUAGACCAAGCAUAAGUCAUGCACGCAAACCUGGAUCACGGCGGGCUUCUUCCUCUCUUCGUCCUUUAGAUCCUUCUCUCGUCCCAGGACUGUGGUGUACUCAACAUCUAGCCCAGCGACCCACUCAUCAUCUGAGUUUUCGAACGUGUGUCUGAAGCGAGAAAGGCAUCCUUUCACCGUCGCGGAAGAACGGGUGUAGAUGACGUCGAACUCAUUGCCGGUGAUGGUUCUAACCUUGUACUCACCACCGAUCGUGGAGAUUUGAGACGCCAUGGAUUUGGGAGGAGGGUUAGGAUUAGUGGAACUGCCGUAAUGUGAAUGGAUGGGACGACUAGGAGCGAACCGCCAUAGUAUUAAAGGACGUGCGGGGACGAGUAGGAGCGAACUGCCAGCAUGCGAAUGGCAGGGUAGUGGCUUUCCAUUCUCCCAUGAUACGGGCUUCCGAGAGCCCUUGGAUCUGAGAUCGAAUGGUUGCAUGGCGUGAUUCUAGACCUAUGGGUGAAUAUCCUAUCCUGGAGGGUUAUUCUGCAAAUUUUCAGCAACUUAGCAUGCGACCGUUUGAUCUCAGAUCCAAGGGCUGCCAGCAGCCCAUAUCAUGGUCGCGCCUACCAUGACCGUCGCGUCGCUCGCGUGGUCGCGCCCUUGGAGAUUUAACACGGUGCGUUAGGCUAUCUGAUGUUGGCAUGUCAUACAUAGUCAUCACUUAGUCACUCAUACUACAACAAGGUUGGCUAUAAGGUUGGUUAUAAGUGUAUUUAUUUUUUUUACUCCUCUCUAUCUCUUUCUUCGUACUCCCUCCAUCCCAUAAUAUAAGAACAUUUUGACACUACUGUAGUGCCAAAAACAUUCUUAUAUUAUGGGACACAGGGAGUACUAGUAUUUAUUGCAUUUGCCAAGGAGUGACAUCUUCCAAUGAAAUGGUGUUGCUAAGUUUGCUUCAUUUAAUUAGUUAUAGACUCAAAAUUAUCUUUUCACCUAGGUACACGCGCUUAGCACCGUUUCUUCCUUGGGUCACCAAACUAGUCUAUCUCUUCUUGAUUAACUUGCCACAUCAGACUUUAUGCCUAUGUGGCAAGCUUAGCACCUGUAGGAGCAAGUAAGGCUGCUUGUAAUGGGAGUAGUAUCAUGCAUGCCAACUAUGCAAUCUUGAUGAGGUGACGUCGAAUUAAAUGAAGAAAAGAGAGAGUUGAGUAUCAUAUUAUGAUACUGUAGUAUCAUAUUAAAUGAUGUGCUACUAUGUGUCAUGCAUGACAAUAAAUAAACUACCCUAUGAUACCAACACAUGAUACUAUGCAUUACGGAUGUAGUAUCAUACAAAAGUAUCAUAUGCAUGAUACUAGUAUAUGAUACUCUCCAUUACGACCAACCUAAGUAUAAUAGUGCGCUUUACAUGGCAUUUUUGCAUAUGUGGAGGAAAGAGAGGCAAGGAAAAAGUGGAGAAGUGGGCUCUCAUGCAAGAGCCAGCCUCUACUAUAGUCUACAUGGUGGAGCAUUGGGAGAGGCACCUGUAUGGAGGUGGUCAGGAAUCGGGAGACUCACGCCGGUCGUAGCGCCACAGUUAAAAUGAUAAUGGCAAGUCAAAUCACGGGGCCCCACCUGUCCAGCAGUAACUCGAUGUCAAAUCACACAGCCCUAAGUUUGUAGCAGCCUACUCCCUCGUCUUCUCGCGUCUUUGUCGAACCGACUAGGCGGAACUGCCCCGCCUCCUACUGCGCAGGAAAAGCCCCGCCCUCGACUUGUAAAUAGUAUAUAGUAUACUAAUUUUGUAUCCAUGGAUUGCGCCAUGGAGCAAAGCCUCUAGAAAAUGGCGGUACACAUGUACGGAGUAUACAGCACGCCCAUCGCGUUCACGUCGCACCCCAGACGGUCGGUCGGUCUGGCACGCUGCUCUCCGAAUGGAACGAGCGUCAUACUGCGUUUGCACACACAUGUGGGACGGCAAUUGAGAACUGACCAUAGGCACACUCCCCAGCCCUGCAAGUCGGUGACUUAAUAGAAGAGGGAGAGGAGCGAUAGUACUAGAGAAGUGUUGUACUACGUUGGUGCCUGGACGAUCCCUGCAAGACACGGAAGAUCAGUUCGUCCAUGCAUGUGACCAGACUCCAGCAGACAUGCCUGGAUUGGCUAUCGUCUACAUAUCGUGCAGGCUGUGUUGUACAUGGUUAUAGUUGUGGUGAGAAAUCUAAAAAAAGGUUUCUUGUCAUCUCGCAAAAUUAGGUGUCAUGUGCUUCGGAUCACUACGAGGGUUAAACAGGGACAACUGAGUUGGGCUAGUCAUUGGGGGCACAUGCACGAAGACUACUCGACUGCCAUCUAGGUCAAGCCAGCUAUGUUAAUUAGGACAUCUAUUGACGGACCCCUUUUCUACGAGUUUAUCUUUAAUUUGAGCUUUGUUCCUCGUCUAGUUUGUCCGUCGGGAUUCACGUUGUCUCCUUUGGGCAGUGAGGUUAUGAUUUCUUGUCAUGUGGCAUUUUUUCGUGUUAUAUGUUAUAAUCCGGUGCUUCAGAUCAAAAUGACGACAACUGUGCCUCCGGGCCACGUGCAUGAAGACUUCUCAGCAGUCAUUGACAAGGUCAAGCCGGCUCCGGUAGACAAAAGAAAACUAGUACUACUCCAGUAUAUAGGCAGGAGCCUCCACGCUUGCUUGCUAGUGUUGCUCUCUUCACACUGUCUCGGCCUCUCCAGAUCUAAAUACGACAGCGGUGGCCACUCUCUCUCUCUCUCUCUCUCUCUCUCUCUGCUCACCGCUGGUCACAGAUCCAGCCGGAUCCUCUCCGCCAGGGAAGGUGGGAAGGUGCAACGUUCACGCGGUCGUCCUCGGCGACGGCUCUUUCCCACUGCUGGGCGCGUCCCGAUCAACCUGCAUUGUCGUUCUCUCCCAAGCACCGCUGGCGAGGGAGGGCCUCCGACCCCUUCUUCCUCGCUGUCGUAGUGUGGGCAGAUCCGGCCUCCCGCCGCCCACCUAGCGACAUCCCGGCGACCAUCAGGUAUAACCUCCUUCGAAACCGGCCUUGCUCUACUUCUCGAGCUCCUGACGUCGCUGCAUUUGUAUCUUCUACUAUUUCUCAGGCCCCCUCGUAGAUAGGAUUGAUCGCUUGUUCGAAAACCACCUAAUUUUUUUACGUUUAAGAGGUAAAACUACUUCAUGCACUCGAAUCUAGUACUACUUGGUUCAAACAAGGAAGAAAGGGGGUGGGGCGGGGGAGGAUUUGUUACCUGGAUCUAGGACUUGGUCAAAAGAGGAAAUAAUGGGGGCGAAAAGUAGCAGAGACUAGCUAUCCAACUGGUCUCUAGGUCUAAUAGGGAAAUAAAGGGAAACGCAGUACAAACUCAAUAUAAACCCGAUCUAUUGGUUGAAAAAGGAAAGAAAGUGGGGACUGGGGGACAAGUCAACAGAGUAAGUCCAGCACUAGAUUUGCUAGCCUCACACAGUAUAAGGUGGCUAUAACGAACAAAAAUGGGACCAACCCAGAUAUCCUGUUCUGAUGUUUGUUGCCCCGAGCCACUCUUAUGUAAUGACACUGGUAAAAUGUAGCAGUCGCACUGUUAAAAGUAAGGACACGUUAAACCAAUGUUGUUCUCAAUGUAAUGCCUCCAGUAAUAUGAAUCAAUGGCACUUUUUACAUGUCCUGCUAAAUUUCCCAUUAAGAUAAGUUGGUUCUUUUCGUUAGAAAUGCAACUGUCCUGGUCCGCCUACUCUCCCGUGCCCAAAGUAAUGUAGUAUUUAACGGUUGUCAUAGUUAAUCCUAAUGCCCACACUAAUAUCUAGCAAUUCCACUGCUUUAGAAAUUGCUACUGUCUUUGUAGGAUUGCCAUUCACAUAAGGAACAUGCUUCUUUUCAUUUGAUGCAUGUUUCAUCACUUGUUAGUCACCCUCCUUUCCACCUUUUUUGUGCAAGCAGAGAUAUACAUUUCACGCUCGAUCUUAGUGGAACUGCACAAAUGAUAUCCAAAUUAUAGUUGAGCAUUCCAGGAGCUUCACAACCAACCUUGAUGUUGGUCAAUUUUAUUGCAACUAAUGAAGAAGAAGCUCUGUGGGUUUUGUUUUCUGAUGGAAAUGGAACCGGGGCUGGAGCCCUUUUCUUAAAAAAAAUUGAAGAAGAAGCUGCUAGCUCACGGGACAUUGCUUCAUUUUAGGUGAGCUGCACCAAAAGGUCCCAUGAAUUGAAUCAUCCAUGUUGGUGACUGAAAGAGCCAGCUUCAGCAUCCCAAUCUAAGCACCCCCGGCCUCCAUCCUUGUGGCGCGCGGUACACCUUGUUUGCCACCUUCUCGACCCUAGUGUCACUGAUAAAAUGAAGUAAUAAUACAGUUAAAAUAGAGCGAGUGUCAUCUCUAUCAUUUCAUUUCCAAUGUAGAUAAAGAAAGUGCUUCUCUUUGUUAAUGUAUGUUUCAUCAACUAGUCCCAUUGUUAAUGUUUAAGCGUUUUUGCAAACUGGGGUGCUUAAUUUUAGUUGAUAUGUACAAGAAUAGAGAUUUGAAUGUCUUAAGGCGCCUCCUUGUACUACUGCUGUACACUAAUGUUCAUCACUGGCAGAAGGUCUAUCUGGGAGACUUGGGACGAUGUUCAGUAUGAGGCAUACUGUAUGAGGCGUCGCAGGGCCCAUCUCACCCUCGCAGCAUGGCAUACUAUGAUACUAUCGCAAUAUUUUCUUCUAUUUAUUUUGUGUGUUUCAUCAACUAGUGCCACUAUAAUGUAAUCACGCUUUUUCAUUAUCUGUGCAAACAGGGUUAUUCAGCUGCAUUUUGGUGGAACUGCACAAAUGUACGUAUGGAACCAGCAUAUAUGCAGAGUGCGAGGUGUGCCAAGUAAAAAUUACCGACACCAACCAUUCUGCAUGCACGCAUUGGCAUCCACCACCACCAGUGGGAUGUGUGGCUCUCUUUGUGGACGGAUCUUUCUCGGCAGCAAAUCCUCUAACCAAAUACUAGUAGCUUAUAUUGGCAGUUUUCUAGGGAGUACUUUUUUCUGAAAGAAGCACCAAUCUACUUUUCUUUAUUUGUACAUUGUGUCACAAGUUUGACCCAAAGGUCCAGAGAUAUUUUAGGGUGAUUGGCGUAGUACUCGGAGACUGAUUGUAAGCAUGAUUUCCAUUAGCUAUCACACUGAUUGUAAGCAUGAGCAGGUGGAAGAUUAGGUUAGUGCGAAGCUUACCUUAAACCCUACCACCGCGUUGAAACGAGGCAAGCGUCGAGGGAACCAUGGAGAAUGGUGGGGAAGCGAUGUCGCACCAUCCAGCCUCCUCUUGCGGUGGGAGAACAAAUACUCCUAUGGCUCCGGCUGGCUCUGCACCCUCACGAACGACACACCAUACUCGAUUGAUCCGUUAUCCUCUGGGUGCUCGACCUUCAACCUGUACACCCACCACCUCCGCCUGACUGUCGCCUCGGGUGAAUCUGUCUGCUCCAUCGCCCAAAGGAGAUACUCGAUGAACUCGGAGGACUGCGGCGUGACUGCCGCCGAGGAGUACAUGUACAUCGCCGCCCUCAUCACCGUCGUCUCGCUCUUUCGCAUACAUUGCCACAUGGCCUGCACCGUCCUCGAAAUCUCCCACUCAUUGUCAAACCAACUAAGGAUCUCCUUCAACCUGGCUAACUUUGCCUGGUCGCCGCCGGCGAUCUUCCUGAUUCGCUGCUGCAUCCUCUCCAUAGAUGUCCUUCUGAGUGGUCCGAUGCUAGCUUUGGAAGAUGGGAGGUGGUCUUGCAAUAGAGAAGAGGGAGAGGCGAGACAGUGGUCUUGCAAUAGAGAAGAGGGAGAGGCGAGAUGGUGGUUUUGGAGUGGAGAUGAUGGAGAGGAGAGGAGGUGGUUUUGUAAUGGAGAAGAUCAGAAGAGGGAGAGGCGAGACGGUGGUUUUGGAAUGGAGAUGAUGGAGAGGAGAGGAGGUGGUUUUGCAAUGGAGAAGAGGGAGAGGAGCGUGCGGCAGUGAUUUAGGAUUGGAUGAGAGGGCCGGCGCGCUGUGACUGGAUCAAAAUCAAAAUCAAUUUACCCUUCAAUUAAGAAAGCGGCCCCACAUUAACUAGUCUCUCUUUAUUCUGGGUCAUAAUUGACCAUGAUUUUCGCACAUAAAAUAUAUGUUAUACGUUGCAAAAAUAAUAUAAUUUGAAAUUACAUUCAGAUACAAACCAAACGAUACAAUUUUUGGUGACAUGCAUUCACAUUUUGCUUGUCAAAUACAGUACGUGGUCAAACUUUGACCCAAAAUACGCAAAACAACAAAAAAAUACUUCCAAGACCAGCGUCGCUCUUCCGCUCUUCUCCUCUUAAACCACCCGCGCUCCUCUCCUGUUCCAAUCUAAAUCCAGUGCCGCUCCUCUCCUCUUCCAUUUCAAAACCACCGCCCCUCCUCUCCUGUUCCAAUCCAAAACCAGCGUCGCUCCUCUCCUGUUCUAAUCCAAAACCAGUGCUGCUCCUCUCCUCUUCCAUUCAAAAACCACCGCCAGCGAGUGAAGGUGCUGUGGAGAAGUAGAUCGAUGGAGGAGUACAACCGAUACAUGAGGAUCACAGACGGCGACCCUGUGAAGCUAGCUAGGAUGUUGGAGAUACAGUCUUGGUUUGAUAACAAGGACCAACUAGUGGCGACGGCGACAUCCAUGGCCAAAUAUCUCCAACAGAGCGAAAAGGCGGCGAUACUCCCGGAGGGAGUCACGCCGGAGUACAUAGAGCUGCUCCUCUCGGCCAUGGAGCAAACAGAUUCACCGAAUCCGAUCGUGAGGGAGCGGUGGUGGGAGUAUUGAUCCCAGAUGGAGCAUCCACCAGAGAUUGAAGGAUCGAGCAUCUACAUGGUGCCAUUUGUGAGGGUGUCCUGGCAGAGCGAGACGGUGGAGUCUUCGUCGACCGAACCCAACUGCAAGAGGAGAAAAGCAGUUGGCCCGACGAUGCUUCCCCGCCAUUGUCUCCCUCGCCGUUCAUAUCGUCUCACGGGGCGGCUGUCUGCCACCGAGGAAUAGGAGGGGACUGCCCCCCCAGCCCAAUAGUCGGGCAGGUUGUGAAUUGUCAGGAGGAGCUUAGGGUUGUCAGUAUUUGCGGGUUGUGAAUUGUGUUUUGUGUUGUGUAUUUUGAGAGUACUUUCAGAUAUAAAUGUCUUUUGAAUUUCAGAUUUGCAGUAUUGAGCAUAUGAAGUAUUUUAUGAAUUCUAGAGAUCUAUUUUUAGCACUUAAAAAAAUGUAGUUUCAUAGGAGUAUAAAAGUGCAGACAAUGUGAUUCUCAGAGAAGAAACUGCAAGUUUCAGUUUCAGAUAAGAAACUGCAAGUUCAGUUUCAGAUAAGAAACUAUAACUUUUAGAGGCAAAGCAUUUGUAUUAACAUGGCCUUUUCAAACAGGGUUAACAUCAUGUUGGAAGUUUUAUUCAUGGUGGAAAAUGGAACUACCAUCCAGUUAACAUCAUGUUGAUCAACAUGCAUGCAUAGCACAUCUUCAUAUGAUGCAUAGUCAAAAUGCCUACACAAUGUCAAGUGUGCGAAACACACAGAAAACGAGGGACAAAGUUUUGGCAAGUGUCAGACGUGGUUUUGGGCUGCCCCGUCUAGUCUUUCAUUUUUAACAUGCGCAGCCCAUGACCUCGGAUGGGAAGUCCAUAGGCAUGUUUGUAUUUUCUUGAGGGUCGUCAUGUAUCGACCGGCCUAUGGACCUCCCAUCCGAGGUUUUAUUUUUCCUGAAUAUCGGCAGCCCAAUUUAUGUAUUUUUUUAAGAAAACGCAGAGGUCUGUUCUAUUUUUCUAUAUAAGAAUAGGAACGCCAGGUCCAACUUAUGUUUCCCUUGUAACUAUAUUGUAUAUAUUUAAAUUAUUUUAUAUGUUAUUAUAUAUUAUUUUUAUUGUCAUCAUAUAUUUAACAGAUACUUACAUAUGUAAGAAAACAAUAUCCCACAUCUUAUUAACUUAUAAAAGUAAUUUCUUAACAAUAAAAUCCUGGAUUGUUUUGGCACGAAAAUCCUAGUGAUUGUGUACAAAAGCUUGGUAAGAUUUAAGGACGAAUGUAAUAAUAUCACUUAUUGUUUAAAUAUAUUUAUAACAAAAUGCUCAGCCCCUUUUUAUUUUUUGAUAACAUUGUUGGCCCAACCCAACAUUAUAAUUAGAAUCAGCCCAGCAUAAUCGUGUAUUUCGAGAAAGUGCAAAUGGCCUGUAAUUUUUUAGGAAAUAGAAUAAAUGGGCCGCAUGGACGCUACAUAAUUUGUUCACCCAGCCCAGCUAAUGGUUGUAAUUCAAAAAAUAAUAAUAAUCAAAUUGACUGUAAAUUCUACCGCGCAAAAAAAGACUGUAAAUUCUGAAAAAAUGGGUUGAAUACGUGCCACAUUUUUGGAGGCUGAAAUGUGGGCAAUAGGUCGAAGCCAACGCAAGUCGUUGUCAAUUUAGUCAACAAAUGAUUCUGACAUGUUAGCCGUUGGAUUUACAUCCAACGACCGUCAUCCAUCUUCAAUCUCUCGUCUUCUUCCUCCAGCGCCGCCGGGACCACCUCCCGCCUCCUGCUGCUAGCAUCUCUGCUUAGCACGCUUCGCUAUGAAGCGCUACUCCACCGUUGGCCUGGCCAUCCCUCCACCCCUCCACACCUCCUGUUCUUCUCCACCGACUGCCGAACCACACUGCACUAGAACCAGUUAACCCUCAUACACCUCUCCGUCUGCGACUCUACUCCCAUGUCUUCCCAUCUCCGGCUCGUUGCUAUCCGGGGCUUUGCCGUCGUACACCACCUUGGAUGCGCUCGGUGCGGCAUGGUCAACGUGGUCAACGAACGACACCAUCGGAAGUAAACUGUGCGUGGAGAGGCUGACAGCUGGGUCCAUGGCCGCACACAAGGAAAUGCCUCCUUAUUACGCGCAAAAUAAUGAUUCCUCCACCUGACAUCUGGGACCCACCGGAAGGGCUUUUGUAUUUCGCGAAAAAAACGUGCCCCCCGCUGAUAGGUCAGACCCACUAGCUAUCUUCGCAAGCAAGGAAGUGUCUCCUUAUUACGCACAAAAAAAUGAAUACCCCCUACUAGCUGGGACCCACCAUAGUGGGUGGCUGACUUAUGGGCCUACUAAGUUGACGGGGACGGAGGGCUUUGUCAACUUAGUGAAUACUCCAGUGACCGUAUGAUGUCCAUCCAACGGCCAUAGUGCUUCUUCAACCUCUGGUCUUCUUGCUCCAGCCGCCCAAAGUAGCGCCGGUCGUGCCGCCUGCUCCUGCCUUCCGUGGCCGGUUGUGAUGCCGCGGAGGCCUCACCGCCCCCUACUACUCCCAUCGCUGGCCAGGCCAUCCCUCUACUCACUCACACCCCCUGUUAUUCCGUGGCGACAGCAGCCUCACACCGCAGCCGAACCAGUGAACCCUCGUACUCCUCUUCACGUGGGCAUCCACUGUUGCGUCUUCCCUGCCUCCGUGUCGUUCCCUUCCUAGGCCUCGCCGUCGUCCACCGCCCUAGUGCUCUCGGCGUGGCCUGGUCAACGUGGUCGAUGACCGACCUGCAUCUGAAGUGGACUGUAUGUGGAGAGGCUGAUAGUUGGGUCCACGGCCGCAGCAAGGAUGUGCCUCCUUAUUACGCGCAAAAUAAUUAUUCCUCCACCUGACAGCAGGGACCCAUCGGAUGUGCCACCUUAUUUCGUGAAAAAAAACAUUUCCCCCGACUGCUGGGACCCACCAGCUACAUCUUCGCACGCAAGGAAGUGCGUCCGGGCAAAAAAAACGAUUCGCCCCCCUGACUGCUAGGACCCACCAGCUACAUCUUCGCACGCAAGGAAGUGCGUUCGAAAAAAAACGAUUCGCCCCCCUGACUGCUGGGACCCACCAGCUACAUCUUCGCACGCAAGGAAGUGCCUGACAGUCGGGACCCACCUGGUCGAAGCGUACGUAGCAUUGUCAUUCUGGUCGCGAACGUGUAUGUACAUAUAUACUGGUCGACGUAGAGGCGCACACGUGUCGUAGUAGAGGCGCGCACGUAGCAUGUACAUGUACGUACAGCGUCCAGGGUGCAAGAAAGAAAAUAUGGCCACGUACGUACAUACGGGUGGGGUCUCGAACGCCUACUCGCGCAUAUAUACUUACGGCCAGGGCUCAUGUACAUGGCUGGGUCGGAACGGAGAAACAGCGUCGUUGUUGUGUUCAUGGGGAGGCAACGGAAUGCGUCGUGUUCAUGGGGAGGCAAUGGAAUGCGUCGUGUUCAUCGGGAGGCAACGGAACGCGUGGGAGCCAACCGGCUGGGUCGGAAUGGAAUGCGUGGUCGUGUUCAUUGGGAGGUCUUGGACGGAACAUGCGAUGGAAACGAGGCCUGGCGUACCGCUGAACGGAGGAAACGGCCUGGUGUUUGACCGACCAUGUUCGAAACGGGAUCUUGUUCAUCGAGAGGGGUCUGGCGUACCGCAAAACGGAGGAAACGGACCUCCUACGGUCGAAACGGGGGUCCUGUUGAUCGGGAGGGGUGUGGCGUACUGCAAAACGGACGAAACGGACUUGUGUUGGAGCGCUACGGUCGAAAUGGGGGUCCUAUUGAUCGGGAGGGGUGUGGCGUACCGCAAAAUGGACGAAACGGACUUGUGUUGGAGCGCUACGGUCAAAACGGGGGUCCUGUUCAUCGGGAGGGGUGUGGCCUACCGCAAAAUGGGACUCCACGAAAUUCUGUUCAUCUCCAUCGUCGACCUCCUCCAGCCUCCACGGGCUACUGUUCAUCCACUGUCGACAUCCUCCAGCCUCCACCUAUGACUGUUCAUCCACGGGCUCCUGUUCAUCCAGCCUCCACAGCGCGCUACUCCACCGGAUACUGUUCAACCACCCCUCCACGGGCACCCCUCCAUCGUCUACUGUUCAUCCAACCCUCCACCACACCACGGGGUCCUGUUCAACCAUCCCUCCUUGGGCACCCCUCCACCAUCUACUGUUCAUCCAGCCCUCCACACCACGGGGUCCUAUUCAUCCAGAGGCAACGCCACGGGUCCUGUUCAUCCACUCCCACCGCUCAAUGUUCAUCCAACCCCCCCCCCUGCAACGCUCAUUGUUCAUCCAGUGAGGCAGCAUCGAUCGGUUUUAGUUAGCAGCAGUAGCGAAGGAAGCAAUCGCUCGGGUUCAGUAACGCGUAGCCUGCAGUACAAUCGCUCGGAUUCAGUUAGAGCCCAACGCCUCGCUCGGGUUCAGUUAGAGCCAACACCUCGCACACACGCGCGUACGUGUACGAGAGAAACGCGCAUCGCUCGGCCCCCCACCACCCACCGUAACUGGGAACUCCCCGAAAUUUUCCUCGCCCUCGGUUUUUUUCGUCAUGGACGGCCCAAAGAAUGUCAUGCAGCUGCAUGUCCGGCCCGCCCAGGAUGAAAAGCCCAUUUUCUGUCAUGAUUUUUUGUCAUAGAAGUAGGAGCCCACCACAUCUAUGAUGAUACUGGGUUUUGUCACAAUUAUCGUCAUAGAAGUGUCAUAUGUAUGACAGGAAAAAAUUCGUUCGGCCCAAAAUGUCACGGAUGUGUCUUCUUUUGUAGUGUUGAUAACGGGAUCACAUCAUUAGUAGAAUUAUGUGAUGGACAAGACCCAUCCGUUAGCUUAGCAUAAUGAUCGUUCAGUUUUAUUGCUACUACUUUCUUCGUGUCAAAUAUAUAUUCCUCCGACUAUGAGAUUAUGCAACUCCCGGAAACCGGAGGAAUGCCUUGUGUGCUAUCAAAUGUGACAACAUAACUGGGUGAUUAUAAAGAUGCUCUAUAGGUAUCUUCUAAGGUGUUUGUUGAGUUGGCAUAGAUCGAGAUUAGGAUUUGUCACUCCGAGUAUCGGAGAGGUAUCUCUGGGCCCUCUCGGUAAUGCACAUCAUAUGAAGCCUUGCAAGCAAUGUGACUAAUGAGUUAGUCAUAGGAUGAUGCACUACGGAACGAGUAACGAGACUUGCCGGUAACAAUAUUGAACUAGGUAUGAAGAUACCGACGAUUGAAUCUCAGGCAAGUAAUAUACCGAUGACAAAGGGAAUAACUAUAUUGACAUUGCGAUUCGACCGAUAAAGAUCUUCAUAGAAUAUGUGGGAACCAUUAUGAGCAUCCAGGUUCCGCUAUUGGUUAUUAACCGGAGAGGUGUCUCGGUCAUGUCUACAUAGUUCUCGAACCUGUAGGGUCCCCACGCUUAACUUUUGAUGACGAUUGGUAUUAUAUGAGUUAUGUGUUUUGGUGACCGAAGGUUGUUCGGAGUCCCGGAUAAGAUCACGGACAUGACGAGGAGUCUCGAAAUGGUCGAGAGGUAAAUAUUGAUAUAUUGGAAGGUUAUAUACGAAUACUGGAAUUGUUCCGAAUAGGUUCGGGGAUUUUUUGGAGUACCGGGAGGUUACCGGAACCCCCCGGCAAAUUUAAUGGGCCACAUGGGCCUUAGUGGAGAGGAGAGGACAAGCCAGAGGAGGUGCCCCCCCCCUUGCCAAUCCAAAUUGGACAAGGGGUGGGGGCACGGUCCCCCUUUCCUUCUCCCUCUCCACAUCUUUCCCCUUUUCCCCCUCCGUAAGAAGGAAAAGAGGGGGGUGAAUCCUACUAGGAGUGGAGUCCUAGUAGGACUCCCUGCUCCAUGUUACGCCCCUGGUGGCCGACCUCCUCCCCCUCCUUUAUAUACGGGGGCGGGGGCACCCCAAAGACACAAUGGUUAUUCUCUUAGCCGUGUGCAGUGCCCCCCUCCACCAUUUACUCCUCCGAUAGUAUCAUCGUAGUGCUUAGGCGAAGCCUUGCGUGGAUCACAUCACCAACACCAUCAUCACGUCGUCGUGCUGACGGAACUCAUCGGCUCCAUCGACACUCUGCUGGAUCUAGAGUUCGAGGGACGUCAUCAAGCUGAACGUGUGCAGAACUCAGAGGUGCCGUACGUUCGGUACUUGAUCGGUUGACUUGAGAAGACGUUCGACUACAUCAACCACGUUAAGUUAACGCUUCCGCUUUCGGUCUACGAGGGUAUGUGGACACACUCUCCCCCUCUCGUUGCUAUGCUUCUCCUAGAUAGAUCUUGCGCGAGCAUAGGAAAAAAUUUGAAAUUGCAUGCUAUGUUUCCCAACAGUGGCAUCCGAGCCAUGUCUAUGUGUAGAUGAUAUGCACGAGUAGAACACAAAGAGCUGUGGGCGAUGAUCGUCAUACUUCUUACCACCAAUGUCUUAUUUUGAUUUGGCGGUAUUGUUAGAUGAAGCGGCCCGGAGCAACCUUACAUGACCGCGUUCAUGAGACCGGUUCCACCGACUAACAUGCAACUAGUUUUGCAUAAAGGUGGUUGGCGGGUGUGUGUUUCUCCAACUUUAGUUGAAUCAAAUUUAACUGCGGCCGGUCCUUAUGAAGGUUAAAAUAGCAAACUUGAUAAAUCACCAUUGUGGUUUUUGUGCCGUAGGUAUGUACGGUUCAUGCUAGAAGCCCGUAGCAACCACAUAAAACUUGCAACAAACAAAGUAGAGGACGUCUAACUUGUUUUUGCAGGGCAUGUUGUGAUGUGAUAUGGUCAAGACAUGAUGUGAUAUAAAGAUUGUUGUAUGAGAUGAUCAUGUUUUGUAGAAGUUAUCGGCAACUGGCAGGAGCCAUAUGGUUGUCGCUUUAUUGUAUAAAAUACGAGCGCCAUGUAAUUGCUUUACUUUAUCACUAAGCCGUAGCGAUAGUCGUAGAAGCAAUGGUUGGCGAGAUGACCACGACGCUACGAUGAAGAUCAAGGUGUCAAGCCAGUGACGAUGGAGAUCAUGAUGUUGCUUAGGUGAUGGAGAUCAUGAGCACAAGAUGAUGAGGAUGGCCAUAUCAUGUCACAUAUUUUGAUUGCAUGUGAUGUUUAUAUUUUAUGCAUCUUAUUUUGCUUAGUAUGGCGAUAGCAUUAUAAGAUGAUCCCUUGCUAAAUUUCAAGGUAUAAGUGUUCUCCCCGAGUAUGCACCGCUGCGAAAGUUCUUCGUGCUAAGACACCCCAUGAUGAUUGGGUGUGAUAAGCUCUAUGUUCAAAUACAAUGGGUGCAGACCAGAUUUGCACACGCGGAAUACUCAGGUUAAACUUGACGAGCCUAGCAUAUACAUAUAUGGCCUCGGAACACUGGAGACUGAAAGGUCGAACGUGAAUCAUAUAGUAGAUAUGAUCAACAUAGUGAUGUUCACCAUUGAAGACUACUCCAUCUCACGUGAUGAUCGGACAUGGUUUAGUGAUUUGGAUCAUGUAUCAUUUUGAUGACUAGAGGGAUGUCUAUCUAAGUGGGAGUUCUUAAGUAAUAUGAUUAAUUGAACUUAAUUUAUCAUGAACUUAGUCCUGAUAGUUUUUUGCAUAUCUAUGUUGUAUAUCAAUGGCCCGUGCUACCGUUCCUUUGAAUUUAAUGCGUUCCUAGAGAAAACUAAGUUGAAAGAUGAUGGCAGCAACUACAUGGACUAUGUCCGUAACUUGAGGAUUAUCCUCACACUACUGCAGGAUGCUGCUAACAAGACACUACGAUCAGAGACCCUUUGAGAAAUUGUGUGCGAUGCAAUAAUCGCAAACAGUGGUGUAAGAAAACCGUCAAAAAUGUGCAAAACAUUUGCGAUGAUGGAUGCAUCAAACACGGUUCAGAUUUUAGUUGCGUGUGCGAUGCAGGGCAUACGGUUUAGUUCAAUUAACUAUUUGCGAUGAGGAGGAACAAAAGAAACGGGAAGCCAGAUGAAGGCGUGUGCGAUACACAACAUACGGUUCACUCGGAAGAACUGUUUGUGAUUAGGCAACACAAAAGAAACGGUCAGCCAGAUCAGGGUGUGUGCGAUAUACAGCAUGCGGUUCACUCGGAUGAAUUGUUUGUGUUGAGACAAGAGAACAGAAACGGUUCAAUAUAACAAGAUGUGUGUGAUACGCGACAAACAGGUCUGUAAUUAGAAAUGUGUGCGAGGACUGAUAAUAACACAAACGAUUGCUUCUAAUAAGAUGUAUGUGAUAUGCUCUGUCUACACAACAUGUACUGGCCAUUGGGGGACUGGCGGUCAUCCGGAUACGCCAUAAGGAUGCGAAGGCAUCCUAUAUCAACAAGGACUAGCUGCUCCACCAGUAGCUCAUCUAAGAGAACUCUCAAGUUAAGUGUGCUCAGGCUGGAGCAACCAUUAGAUAGGUGACUGGAUGGGAAGUUGUGUUGAUGUUAAAUUAACUGAUAGGAUGGGUCAUUUCGGUUCAAAUGACCGAAAUGACCCAUUCCCUCAACUAAUUUCACCUCGAGGCCCGUGUUUUUUAUUUUUAUUUUAUUUUUUAACAUAUGUUAAAGAAGGUCUACCGCAUUAUUUUUUGGCAAUGUGUAUAUGUGGCAUACAGUUGAUCCAUCCGACCUGUUUGUGAUGGAAUAAGCCGUGUGUGUUGUGGGCAAACGCUUGCUAGUGUACAACCGUUUGUGAUUGAUGAAUUCAUCACCCACGAGUUCCCUAGUGUGGUCCGUGUUCAUCUCAUUAUCAUCUACUUCUUGUGCUAGAUCGAUGUUCCUUAUAUGCUAAGUUUCCAUUAGUUGAUGGCGUUCUAUGAACACGCCACUGUUUCCCGCCAUUUCCUCACCUAUGUCCCGCCACCCAGCGAUAUUGCACAUAAACCUAGGUGCGGUGCAAUGCACGGAGGCAAAAAGCACAGCCUGUAGCACAUCCACCUUUUCCACGCAUGCCAAUGCACCAAAGCGCCGCCUCUGCCAUCAACCUCGUCGACGAGGAAAACCAGAAGGCGCCACGGCUCGUCGAGGCUGCGGUACUCCCCAACAACGCGAUGGACGACGUCGUGAUGCGCAUCAUCUCCAGGGUUGAGCAGACCAUUGGCACAUGGUGCUUCAGCGCCGCCGGUCAAGAUAGGCAUGUCAGUGCUGAGAGGCUGUAGCUCGCCGCACAACAUGAUCGAUGGCGCACCGCAGAGAAAGCUAGGCGCGUCCGGAUCGAUAGGUUGCGGCUCGCCGCACGGCGAGAGCGUUGGAGUGCCGCAGAGCAAGAGGCGCGGCGCGCCGCACAGCAAGAGCGGAUCCAUCAGUGCUUGCCCGCUGUCGACAGGGUGUCGCAGCUGGGUACACGUCCCGUCAGUACCCCCAUUCCUCGCCAGGAGUGGGCACAGGCCCUCUGCACCGUACUGGCACCAGAGGUCGGCCGCGCUGUACUUGCACUGGACGCCCGCCAUGCCAUUCGCAUGGGUCACGCCGUUUGCCUUGUCCGCGGCCCGCUUGAUACCAACGCGCUGGUCGGUAGGCUCAACCGCCUCCUUGGCUCAGGUGUCCACUUGGGCGCAGUAGAGAAACAUGGCUGUCGCAUCCUCGAGGUGGUGAUAUCCGAUGAAAUAGCCAACUUGGAGCUCAAGAUCGCGCUCCAGAUGUACUACGAGCGUGUCGACCGCUUCGACAAACGACUACGCGAGUUCAAGCAGAGGCAAGAGCUACCGUAGGCAAGGGCUACUGCUCAUGGUCUCAUGGACGCGUUUUAUUUUGUUGAGUCGUUUCGACGUGGAUAGCUAUGUAUUCACAGCAAUCAUACUAUUGCUCUGUUUAUUGCUCUGUUUCAAUGUGUGUACUCUGUUUUCCGUUCUUAUAUGUUCUGUUUCAAUGUGUGUUUAUACGCUUUCCAUUCUGUAUAUGUGGAUGAUAACAGAUAGAUUCAAAUUAGUAUAAAAAAUAGAUAGAAAAUGGAAUUCAUAAUAUAUAUAAUAUUAAUUGUUCAUUAGUUCAUCACAGAAUAUAUAUAAUAUCAUCACAUAUAUGUGAUGAUACUUAACUACUAGGUACAAUGCAUAAAAUUGAAAAUGAUAAAUACUAAAAUUAAUAAUCCCUCUUGGGGCCAGUAUUCCGACAGCCCCUCACCAACAGCUCCCUGGUGCGCGGCGUCUUCCCAGAACGGAGGCAGUACUCCGCCUCGCAGCGCUUACGUGUUGAUCUGACUCUUGUACGUGGACGCGCACAAACGAUCUUGCCAUUUCAUUGCGCGCCCACCGGAGCUCCUCGUCGGUGGCACGUUGGAGCUUAUCGGCCCAGCUCCACGCAGCGACGAGGCGCCUAGCGCCUCUGGCCUUGCUCAUGAAGUACCCGUCUUCGUACACCUCCUCCGUACGACGAUGCGCCCGGCCCCAAAGCUCCGCCUCCUCCUUUUUCCAGGCAGCAUCACGGGCUUCACAGGACGCCUAGUACCUGGCAUCCUCCUCCGCCAUCUCCUUCUUGAAAGCCACUUGACUGGCUUUCUCAGCCUAUGGCAGCGACUUCCAAAGACAAAGAUCAUACUGGCCCCAAAACCAAUCCAAAGUUGGGGGGUCUGGUGCAACCUCGUCCGGCGGCGCGUAGGUGUCCUUGUCGCUGCUCUUCGAGUGAGCGUCCUCGGGGGGUGGCAACUCCUCAUCGGCGCGUGGGCAGACCGGCGGCGCCAUGGCAGAGAUUUGAGAGAGAGAGAGAGAGAGAGAGAUAGAGAGAGAGGGAGGGGGCAAGGGGGGAUCUAGAUGAGAAUGCAUGCGAGACAACAUGAGCAAGGUAGUAUUUAUUAGCGGCCGAAAUCUAGAUCGACGGGAACAGUACACGCGCCGGACGCUGGAAUUUACGAAUAUUGUAGUGUGAAUUACACACGAUUCCCACAGUAAAAUCCGUGUGUGAACAUAAUAGCUGAUGGUUCCCAAUGUAGAACCGUGUCUGAUUAAUAAAGCCCGCCACUCACCUUCCAAACCUCGAGGCGCGAAAUAGAGUGCCAAUCGUGUGGGGCCGGAUGUUUUGCCAGAUUUUACAUUUUCUUUUUUGAACACCAGAUAUUUACAGCGUUUGAUGACUUUCUAACUCACACACAAGUACACAAAUAUGAUUUUUCAAAUCGUUAUGGUUAGCCAUUGCAUGUAGAUGUAGUUCAAAUUUGAAUUACGAUCAUUAAAUGGCUAGAAAAUUACUUAAAUAUCUUCAAAAGGUCAAAUGACCUCUAAAAUUUUCUAAAUUUUCUCAUGACAGUUGUAUUAGUGCAUGUUACACAAAAAAAUUGAAGGCCGUAAGAGGAAGCUAUCUGCCGUUCGUCAUCAAACAUGCAUUACUCCCUUCUCGGAACCACAAGCCUUCUAGUGAGUUGCUCCGGUUUGUGAGGGGUGUGUGUCCAAACUUUUGUCAAACAGACCAAUUUUUAUACCACAUCAUCUUGGUGACAUGACAUUACAUCAAGCAAGGUUUCAUGUUUUUCUGAUCAUUUUUUAAUUUUUUGGAAUAAAAAUGCCAUGACACUCCAUGCAUGUACAUGUGUCCAUGCCGUGAGACCUAUAUGUUUGAAAAUUCUUUCUAAUUUACUGCAUAUGGAAUUAACUCGCAUACAAGUACACAAAUAUGAUUUUUAAACCGUUAUGGUUAGCCAUUGCAUGUACAUCUAGUUCAAAUUUGAAUUACGGUCAUUAAAUGGCUAAGAAAUCACUUAAAUGUCUUCAAAAGGUCAAAUAACCCCUGAAAUUUUCCAAAUUUUCGCAUUACAGUUUGUAUCAGUGCACAUUACAUGUAGAAAUUUGUUGAAGGCCGUAAGAGGAAGAUAUCUGUCGUUCGUCAUCAAACAUGCAUUGCUCCCUUCUCGGAACCACGAGCCUUCUAGUGAGUUACUCCGGUUUGUGAGGGGUGUGUGUCCAAACUUUUGUCAAGCAAACCAAUUUUUGUACCACAUCAUCUUGGUGGCAUGACAUUACAUCAAGCAAGAUUUCAUGUUUUUCUGAUUAUUUUUUAAUUUUUUUGAAUAAAAAUGCCAUGGCACUCCAUGCAUGUACAUGUGUCCAUGCUGAGACCAAUAUGUUUGAAAAUUCAUUCUAAUUUACUGCACAUGAAAAUAGCUCGCACACAAGUACACAAAUAUGAUUAUUCAAACCGUUAUGGUUAGCCGUUGCAUGUAUAUCUAGUUAAAAUUAGAAUUACGAUCAUUAAAUGGCUAGGAAAUCACUUAAAUGACUUCAAAAGAUCAAAUGACCCCUGAAAUUUUCCAAAUUUUCACAUGACAGUUUGUAUCAGUGCACAUUACACGUAGAAAUUUUUUGAAGGCCGUAAGACGAAGCUAUCUGCCGUUCGUCAUCAAACACAUUGAAAUAUUUUUAAUGUUUUAGUUUUUCUUGAAGGAAGCAAAAAUAAUUUAAAAAAAGAAAAACGAAAAACGAGAAAAACUAUUUACACAAGAAAGUUCCCAGCAAGUAAAAGAAGAACAAGAAAUAUUUUUGGGUUUUAUUUUAACACUACAAACUACUAAACAAGAAAGAAACAACGAAAAGAAGCGAGAAAUAUUUUGGAUUUUUGAAGUUUUCAAACACAGAAGAAGAAAGCAAAAAUACUUACAUGGAUAUAUAAUGAAAAAGGAUGGACGCUGACAACUGGAAUGGAAUGUAUGAACAUGAAUGUAAUGUCGAUGAGAAAUACGUACUCCCCCAAUUCUAACAUUUUGGCCUAAGUUGGUCUAUGGCCCCUAGUAGCCUGAAUAAUACCCGUAGUCAUAGUUCAGGUUAUACUGACGUGCAGCUGCCACAACUUUGUGUGCUGCCUAAUUGAGAUGGGUAGUCUCCACUGCCCUCUCGUACUCCUCAGCCUCCUCCUCAAGUAUGAAGUGUUUAUAUUUUACAUGAAAAUUAAAGAAGGCAGGAGAGGGCAAAGUAAUAUGGAAGACACGAAGCUUGAUAAAGAUUAACCUGUAUCUGAGCGGAGGGUCGUUCCUCUCGAGGAACUGGUGACAUUCCAUAGCAUCAUAAUCAAGAAUACUGGUACGUCAGCACUCCGCCAUAAAUGGCCAUCAUACCACCAUCGAAACGUCGCUGAUGCCGCUGAACUACCGUCAUAGCCGUGAUAGCAUUCCCGGAACACAACUGCCGCCGCAGGAGCAUCGUCGAAACGCUGCCGAUGCAUCACUGGAGCACCAUUGUCGCCGUCGGAGCACCUUUGUUGCCAUUGGAGCUUCGCCGAAACACCGCCGAUGCAUCGCGGGAGUACCUUGUCACCGCUGGAGCAUCGGGAACGCCUACGGAGUAUUGUCGCGUCACCGCCUAGGGGGAAUAUUCCGCUCCGGAGUAUUGUCGCGCCACCGCCUACGGACUGACAAGUGGGUCAUGCAUGUCGGGUUGGUCAUUGAGGAUCUGCUAGGGUGUGUUUGCUUCAGGGAAUGAAGUGGAACGUAACGGGUCGGACCUGCACCUGGGAGCGAUUUCUGUGUUUAGUUGAAAAAGGGAAUGGAACGCAGUGGUUCCCUGGAGAGGAAUAUUCCCCCUAUAUGCCGAACCGGGUGGUUCCUCCAAAUUGACCGGACCACGCGGAACGCGUCUCUCUCGCGUCGUCCCCCACUCACCAACGAGGAACGCCGCCCCGCUCCCUCUCCCUCGAUGGGCAUGGCGGCGGCCAUACACCUCCCCUCCUCUACGGCACCCCCUCGCCGCCGUUGGAUAUGAAGCCUCCCGGCGUCUCCUUCCCCUCGUCAGAGAUGCAGCUUCGCCGCGUCUCCUGCCCCUCGACCAAGGAUCUGGGAAAGGACGGGGCCACUCCCUCUCCAUCCGGCCUCUCCCUCGGCUCGCCCUCUGGAACGACCGCUCCUCCCCCGUAUCUCUCUCGUCAAGCAGCAGCUGAUUGCUCCCUCCUCCCGUUCCUCUCACCCAGCAGCAAUGAUGGCAGGUCAGAUGCGGCCGAUUUGUUGGGAAGCAGAGCAGAUAAGUGGCGGUCGGCUCGGCUCGUCUCCUUCCCGGCAGCUAGCCGGCCGAUGGCAUCCACACACCUGGGAGGUAGCAGCACCAACCAAGGAGCAGCCAGUUCGGCAAGCAGCAAGAGAAGCAUCAGCGGCGGCAAGAGCAAGCUUCUUCGAUUGGCUCUUUCUAACUUGGCAUUCUCCGUCCAAUAAUCAGUAGUACUCAAAUUGAUUAGUGCUAGCUUUGUGUGCUCUGUGUUGAGACCGGUAGUAACAAUUUUUGUUGUCAUUAAUACUUGGCAAUCUAGAUAUUGUGCUUCAAAUAUCAGGUUAUAUAUUUCACUGAUAAAUCAUUGUGAAAUUCAAAUGUUGUUCAAAACUAUUUAUGCUUGCGAGUGGAGUUAUAAGUUAUUGUGAGCGAAACCAAAUUCAUUCGAUUCAAUCUCUCCAACCAAACACCGAAAUGGAACCAUUCCAUUCCAUCUAUUGUGCUCAAGCAAACGCAGAGACGGAACCGACCCAUUCUAGUGGAAUGGAACCAUGACAUUCCAUUCCACUUCGUUCCGCAACCAAACACACCCCUAGAGUACCGAACCCCAAUGACCAAAAGAAGUGUUAUUGGGGCCCCCGAUAGAUGGUUAUUGGGGGAGUUUUUUUUCCAUGAGGCGUUGGAGAUGUUCUAAAGUCCAACAAGCUGUCAAGCCCGUUAGGCGUUGGAGGUUUUGUCUCAAACAGGGUAUGGAUGGAUAUUUCGUUUCUGAAUCAAGUAUAUUUCUCUCAAAAUAAACAAACAAACCAACAAAGUACAGCACUUGUAAUGAACAGUGCCGCAGAGAGUACAAAGUGCACUUGACUGUAUCCAUGAAACCGCAUCACACUGUGCCUUCCUCUGCGUCGUUCCGCGCAAAUUGAAACCCAAAACUGUAUCACCGCAGGUUCAAACGAAAUUCCCCAACCCCAAGCUACAGCUAAUACCAGUGGUCCAGUACCCUACCCGUCAACAGUUUCCUGAGGCUCUACCGUCAGCUGCUCACCGGGUCCAGUCCACCGGAACAACAGAAAACACAGAGGGCUCGGUGACCGCGCCCGGUCAUGUAAAACGCGCGCAAAGCCAGCGCCAACUUUCCUUCUCUCUCUCAAAGAAAACAAAAGAGCAAAGUUUUUCCCUCAGAAGAGAGAGAGAGAGAGAGAGAGAGAGAGAGAGAGAGAGAGCAAAGCUUAACGCAAACUGAAAAAAUGAACCGAGUACUCCCGUCUCUUUUUCGGGCAGCGGCGAGCAAGUCGCUUUCUCUCGCUGCGUCGCGUGCAUGCAUGCAUGUAUUGCUUUUUUCCCUUCAUCCCUUUGCUCGGACGGUCGGACCGACGUACGACGCCAAUGCCUGUGACCGCCAUCGCCGCCGCGCCGGCCGACGCACGCCAUGUUUCGAGGUGGCAGGCCGGCGAUCGAAUGGCCACCCAACACAUAAUCUGUCCGGGCCAAGAAAAAAAACAUUCGCAAGUGACCUGGGGAGUCGCCACGCCGCGUUUCUCUUGUUUGGACCGUGUGUAAAACCCACGCGGUAAAUUAACCGUACGUUCAACAAAGGCCUCGCCUACAGACGAGAGGGAAAAAAGAAAGAGAGAGAUAGAGAGAGAAGCAGAUUAAUCGCAGGAGUAAAAGGAAGCGGGCGGUCCGGUGUGCGUGAAAAGACGGCCGCCGCUUUGCGUUGUGCGUGCGCGAGCACUGGCGUCGGAGGGAGGUUUGCUUUAGUUUGGGGUAGGCUGCGUGCAUGGCAUGGCCCCGGCUCCUAGCUUUGCUUUUAGUUUUGCUUUUCCCCCGGCUUUAUAUAAGCGCAGCACCCCUACUUUUAGUUUUGCUUCAUGCCACUUUGGACGGGAUCUUUGCCUGCUUUAUCCUCUACUUAGCCGUUGCUACUACGACUGACUACUCUUGCAAGGGAGGAGCAGCCAAGAGGGGAGGAAGCUUGGAUAGCUAGGAAGGAGCAGUUCGGAUUUCGAGCACGCUUCUCUCGUCAGGCUUCAAUCAGGUACACUAUCUUCUGGUGGUCGUCACUUGUGCUGCCGCAUAAUGUAGUAAGAUAUAGGAGUACUCGGUAGGAUGUCGCUUAAUUCUGCUCUAGAACUCAUUAAGAAACGUACAGUGCUCUUCUGUGUGGAGAUACUCCUACUUGGGACUUGGGAGUAGUGGCUGUGAGCAAUGUCAGCGAGAGUGGCCUAGCAAGCUAGUAGCAAGAUCCACGGCGUAGCACUGCAGUAUAUCGUACUACCGUGCAUGCUAUGCUGCUGCACACUCAUUCUGCACACACAUAUACAUCCGCGCACAUUUUGCCGUGGAUUCGCUUGGACGCUCCUUGGUUCCCUUGCGUUUCCUUCCUUUUGAUGCCAUGCGGCCUUGGGUCCGUCGGCGGCGCUUUUGAGGCAGGCGAGAGAGAGAGAGAGAGAGAGGGCGAUCGAGCGCGUCCGGCGGCAUGCAUGGCCUGCAACAACAGCAAGAGAGGGGAAACCGGCUUUCCCGUCGCCCCGUAGCUGCGCGGCCAUGGCGUGAAGCCAAAACACANNNNNNNNNNNNNNNNNNNNNNNNNNNNNNNNNNNNNNNNNNNNNNNNNNNNNNNNNNNNNNNNNNNNNNNNNNNNNNNNNNNNNNNNNNNNNNNNNNNNNNNNNNNNNNNNNNNNNNNNNNNNNNNNNNNNNNNNNNNNNNNNNNNNNNNNNNNNNNNNNNNNNNNNNNNNNNNNNNNNNNNNNNNNNNNNNNNNNNNNNNNNNNNNNNNNNNNNNNNNNNNNNNNNNNNNNNNNNNNNNNNNNNNNNNNNNNNNNNNNNNNNNNNNNNNNNNNNNNNNNNNNNNNNNNNNNNNNNNNNNNNNNNNNNNNNNNNNNNUCUCUACACUGUGGAGAUCCCAGUCACACAUCACGGCCGUGUAGUAAGCUCGCGCGUCUCUUCUGCCUGCUCUCUCUCUCUCUCCCUGCUCUGCCGGCCAUUAAAUGGAUGCAUGCAUGCAUGCGACCCCUUCUUCAAACUUGGGUAGAACAGCUCAUGAUUGCGUCGCUUGUAGGCUUGCUGCCCGUCGUCUUCUCCGGCCUCUGGACGCCCCUUCCUGCCUCCGCGAUAGGGCGCCCUAAACUGAUUCUUUAGUCCUUUUCCCUUCCAUGAAAGCAGUAUAGUACUCCGUGUUCAUCUACCUGUCCUGCCAUGAUAGAUUGGUACAGUACUGCACCAUCGACGAAAAUGAUUUUUGAGCCUGGCAAGUUACAUGUGGCCGACUAGUGAGUGGACACCACGUAGGCUAAUGAGUGGACACCCUAUCUCUCAU
rnacentral:lncRNA from 1 species